AUCAGCGUUGCGGCUCGAGGCAAAGCUGGUCCUGUGCCUGCUGUCCAUUGCCGCUAAGGCCUGCUGCUGCCAUUCAGGCGUGUCUCUCUCUCUCUCUCUCUUUCAUGCCGCUCUCUCCACCCCAUCUUGGGACGGCCAGCUCUAAGAAUUCCUGCUACGACACUGAAUUCAACCAGGAGGUGAUGCCACACUCAAUCAGAAACUAUGCUACUGCUGAAGAGGUAUAUUGAGCCCUGCCUGGUUAACCUCCAGUGAGGUUAUUAGAGAAUUGGGAGAGGCUCAAAUCAGCAUCCUGCACCUAGUUAUCAAACCAUUGUGAAGUCUUGAUUCCUGGAUGGCCAGAAAACUUGUCAUUGGUCAAGAGCAACAUUAAGAUCUGCCUGUUACUCAUACUGAUGCUUCCUGCCCAGCAAGUUCAUCAGAGGGCGAGGAUGAAUUACGGUUGCCAUGAAUGUCCUUGUGAGGCAGUUGGGAAGCCUUGGCUGGAUUGUGAAGGAUAUUUGAAAAGUAUUUUAGAGUCCACCAGAUCAUCCAUGUGAGUGACCAUGCAGCAAAAGAAGGAGGGUCCUCUCAGUGAUUAAGGAUUAUGAAGUAUUAAUUCUUCCACUGAUAUCUCAAAAGGUGAUCUGGACAAAGGAACAGGUAUCUCAGGAGGCGGAGGCAGGAGUAUUGCUGAGCCCAGGAGUUGAAGACUGCAAUGAGCUAUGAUCGCGUCACUGCACCCCAACUUGGGUGAUAGAGCAAGACCCUGUCUCAAAAAAAAAAAAAAGGUAAAGAGAUACUAAUAAAUAAUUCAGAUAACACAUAAAGAAAUAAAUAUAGUCAAGAUAAGCUAUAAUCUUGUCACUCAACUAAAACUAUGAAACUUUUGGUGUAUAGACUUUUAUUACUUUUAUUUUUUUGAGACAGAGUCUCAGUCUGUCACCCAGGCUGGAGUGCAGUGGCAAGAUCUCGGCUCAUUACAAACCCUGCCUCUCAGGUUCAAGCUAUUCUCAUGCCUCAGCCUCCUGAGUAGCUGGGAUUACAGGUUUGUGCCACCACACCCAGCUAAUUUUUGUAUUUUUUAGUAGAGAUGGGGUUUCUUCAUGUUGGCCAGGCUGGUCUCAAAUGCCUGGCCUCAAAUGAUCUGCCUGCCCCGGCCUCCCAAAGUGCUAGGAUUACAGGCGUGAGCCACCGCACCUGGCCUUUGUAUAGAUUUUUAAAUGCUAGACUUCUUUGAUAUUAUUGAGCAUAUAUUUUAUCUAAUUAUGACACCUGUUUUGAUUCUGUGCUUAAUUAAGCAAUUUUAUGAUUAUAAUUUGGCUAUAGGAAAAGAAUGUAUGCUUUAUAUGGAAACAAGUAUUCUGGUUACAUUGAUGGGUAUAUUGUAGUAAAUUAAUAAACUGGCACAUUGAAGAUUAUUCAUCUUCUUAUGUCAGCUGUGCUGAUUGUCCUUAUAAUUUAUCUUUGCACAGUUGACUAAUUGUUUCCUUACCAAAUGUAAUUUUAGUCAUAGAAGGUGCAGUGAAUACUCUCAGGACUCUGAAAUAUGGUUCAUACCCAUGGAAAAAAGCCUAACAAAAAUACUGAUAGCAUGGUUCCAAAGCGGGCAUGAGGAGGAAUAUGCAUUUGGAGGUGUUAGAGAAGAUAAUAUGAUAAUAAUCAGUUACUAUAGUUUUGUUAGGAGAACCUCCCUCAUUUUUUAACUGUACCUAGAUAACGAACUUUGUCAGUUUAUUUAUUUUUUUUAAUUUCUUAAUUUUUUGAGAUAGGGUCUCUCUCUAUCACUCAGGCUGGAGUGCAGUGGCAUGAUCAUGGCUCACUAUCCUCAACUUUUCAGUCUCAAGUAAUUCUCCCACCUCAGUCUUCUGAGUAGCCAGGACUACAGACAUGUACCACCAUGCCUGGCUAAUUUUUUGGAUUUUUUUUUGUAGAGACGGGGUUUCUGCCAUGUAUCACAGGCCGAUCUCAAACUAGGCUGGUCUCAAACUCCUGGGCUAAAACAGAUCACCCGCCUGAGCCUCCCAAAGUGCUGGGGUUAGAGGUCUGAGCCACCGCACCCAGCCAACUUUGUCAUUUUAGAGAUAGCAGCAUAUGCUUUAUCUUGGUCCUGAGGCAUGGUUGCUGGAGGUCAAGUCUAUGCAGUUAGCUACGAUGGGCCACGGAAAGAUUCUAAACUUCUUGUAGUCAUCCAAGUAGGUGGAUUGCAUGCACUAUUUGUAAUUGAAAAGUAUGAGUUCCUGUUUUUUUGUUGUUGUUGUUUUUGGUUUUAAGGAGCUGAGAGUUUAAUAGGCAAGAAGGAAGGGAGAAGACAGAAGGAAGAAGCUCCCCCUAUACAGAGGCAGAGGGAGGGGGGAUACAAAGCCGAAAGAGGAGGUCCCUACCUGCUAACCAUACCAGCCAGGUAUAUAUGCAGAGGCUGGAGGAGGCGGUGUUUGAUUUGCAUAGGGCUCAGGGGAUUGGUUUGAUUAGGCAUUUCAUUCACAUGGCCCAUGGAAAAAGCUGGCCCUCCCACUCUAGCCUUUUAAUAUGCAAAUGUAGGGUGCCAUGAUGGUCUACACACGUGGGGAUAUGUGGGGGUGGCCAUGUUGCCAGGAACCUGUGGGGAAAGGGCAAGAAGGCCCGGGGCAUCUCCAUGUUUGGGUGGGCCCAGUUUCUAAUGGCCUGCAUUUGCAUAUCAAUGGUUGCUGGCCUGGCUCUGAGAGCCAGGGCUUUGCAAGAAACUUUUCCAGAGGUGCUUUAACAAACAAAAACUUCCCAAGGACCCCUUUUCCUACAACAUUCCCCCCUGUGGAGAUGCCACACUAACUGCUGUUAGGGGGUUUGGGGCGAUGACUCUUUCUGGCUACUUCCUGCUGAAAAGGGGCAUCGAAUGGGGAACAGCAGCUAAGGCUCCUUCUGGGGUCGAUCUAAGGAUCCUCGGAAGAAUGGCGUGUGGUUCAGUUUACAGCACCAUUUGAAGUUUGAUUGCUUCUAGGCGAGAAGAAACAAUUUGAGUUAUAAUAUUGAGUAUACAGGGUCCAAAUAUCAAUACAAGACAGAUAAGCAAGAGAGUGCUUAAUAAAGGGGUUAACCAAUUCCAUAAAGAAGACUGGAAUUUAUUAAAGAGGGAUUGUAGCCACUCGGGCUGAAGCUGGCAUUUUCCCUGAGCCUGUCAAUAAUUUUGAUUUGAUUUCUAAGUACGCGUAGAUUUUCCUCUACUUUACUAGAGUUGUUAAUCCAAAAGCAGCAUGUUUCAUUUAAAACUACAUUACUAAACCUAAUAAAAAGUCCUAGCAGACUCAGUGAUAGUAAAACUUUCAUGCUUCCUUUUUGUCAACUAUUAUCCUUGCUAUAAGGAUAAUAAUUAAGCAAAAUACUACAGCAAUGGAAACUCUCUGUCCAAUAUUUCAGUUAGAAGGUGGUACCAUGUGUAACGCUAUUGCAAAUAGUAGGGUGAGGACAGCAGUUCCCACAAAUGUGGUGUGGCAGGUAAUUUCCAUCUAAAAUUUUACUUGCCAAGAUAUUAGAAUUCCCCUUUGGGGGUCUAUGAAGUUCCCUGGUUUUAUUUUCCCAAACAGAAACCUCCAGGUUAUGGGCACUUACUUUAAUUAUCUGGCAGAAUUUGCAAGAUAAUUGCCCAGAACUAGCAUAUUGAUUCACAUUUUUACCUUACCCAUCCCUAUUCUUUUAUUCCAAGCUGCAGAAGAUCACCACGUGAUUCACAGGAAUAAGCAAGGUUAGUCUAAAACAUAGGCAAAAAGCUUAAAAACAAUUAAUGAGAGUAGGCUUUAAUGACAAAUUUAUGAUAAGCUUUGGGGCAAAAUUUUUCUCUCCAGUCCUCAUUUUUGGUAAAAACUAUGAAUAAACUUUAGUCUUAUACUUGGCCUGAUUAUUUGCAUAAAGUGCAGCAAGAAUGGUUAUUUUUACAUAGGCCUUUUGGAUUGGCUUUGAUGAAACUCUGUUCCACAAGGAAUUUCAGAUAAGACUUAAAGCCGAGCCCAGCCAUGGGUUGUAUCCUUUAAUACCUGUGAGUUGGGUGAUCCUCUCCUCUUGAGUUCCCAAGAUAAACUCUGAGCUUCUAUACCUGUUAGAAAGUGACAUUCUUUACUGACCACAGGUUAGGAACCCUGUGUGGGGACUGUGCAGACAAGGUAUGAGGCCAGUUCUCCACAAGGGGCUUUUAUUGGCUUUGCAUGUCAAGCUUGAUUCCUUAAAGGGAAACACACCCUUUCAGUCAAAGCCUUGGUAAAAUAACCAGUUUUUCCAAUUGUGUCCUGUUGACAAAGAAAAAUGGAUUCGUAUUGCACUGAUGCAAACAACUAUAUUGCCAUAAAUUAAGAGUACUCACAGAUAGUUUCCAAAUUCUAGGGGAACCAGGCAGAGAAAAGUAAACAUGCUCCAAAUUUUGUUCACAGGGGUAUACCUUACUCAAUCAUUAAAGGCCAUAAAUAGUUUAAAAUAACUUCCCUUGACUCUGAAAAUCAAAACAAGGAUUAGCAAUAUUCCAAGCAACAGUCAAAAAGGUUGCUUUAACUUUCUGAGUGUAGUCCACUUAGUUAACUUUUGUUUUGCUUGGUAUUUGUCAACAUGUCAAUUCUUUGAGUCCUGUACAUUCUUUAUUUCAAUGUUACAAUCUUUAAGGCUAUUAAAAACCUGCAUUUAACAACACCUGUUAAAGUCCCUAAUAUAGCUUUAUUAUAAACUGUCUUUUGAGAAGGAACAAAGGAAGACAACAAUUGUCUGCGAAUGACAAAUUUCCAGGAUAGUUACAGUUAAAUAUAUGACUAAGAAAGAAGUUUACUUAUCUUCGUGGUUUACAAUAACUUUACCCUUAAUUAUGAUUGAUAGCAUAUACUUAGACAUUAGAAUUUUAGAAAUCUCAUACAAUUUUGGAACAUAUUAGUAUUUAUUCACCAAAAUAUAACUUACAACAAUAUAACUUUAUAGCAAUAAAGAAGAUUGGACAUCAUUUUGGCAAUCUCAUGUGACUAAACAUGUCAAGUGAUCUUGUUUACCUCUUUUCUGAAUAUUUCAGGGGCCCUCUGAACCAUCCAGAAAGCCAGGCAGCAGUAAUGACAAUUUCCAGAUUGCCAUAAAUUAUUUUGUAAAAAUAACUCAAAAGGCAAAAGCCUUUCAUCAGCCUUUACUAUGAUAUGAAAAUUUUGUUCAAAGCAAAAUUUUUCCCUUGCAUUAGUUUAUUAAUGUUAAUUCCAGUUCGUUUCCAUGAACCCUUAUAGAUUAUCCCGUCUAAUCCUAACCAAUUUGACCAUGAGGUGAAAUCUUUACAAACCUUUUGUAACCCUUUUACUAAAGGGCAGAUUAGUGUCUUAAGACCUCCUUGCUGUGCUUCUAUUUUAAUGCUUAAUUCAUGAAAAGACCGUAUAGAUGCUAUGGGAGAAGAUGGUGUAGUGCUUCUACCAUGCAUUUCAUUGCAAGGCAACCCAAAGCCAAUUGGCUUAUUUUGUAAUCAGCCCAUCCCUGAUGGGCGUCUCAUCUCCCAGUGGGGGAUGGGGAUGUUUCCUUAUCUUCCAGGUGGCCAAGAGCAUGCUUCUCUGUUUUGUAACUGCUAUUAGCCAUCCCUUACUGUGUAUUUUCUACCUAGUUAUUACACACCAAAGCUCUCUCAUAAUGCAAAGUAAUUUCUGAUAACCCCCAAAACUCAAAACCGUCAGAUAACACAGUGCAAAACAGAAUAAAGCCUUUGAUUUUGAGAGGGAUCUAUCUCCUUUUAAUUCCUGGGGUUUCAUGAGGAAAACAGGCUUUUUCUGAAAACAGGGUUUGCGGUGCCUCCUCUGUUUUUCCCCAGGAGUCCCAUACUACCAGAAGUUAUUUUAGGGCUUUUUAUGCAUGCAUUAAGAGGGGUAAGACAAAAAACGGAGAAAAUAAUUCAGUCAACUGAGAAGAAAAGAGCCCUUUUCCAGAAAAGCAAGAUUCAAGAAGAGAAAAGCAUAAAGGCCUUUAAAUAUACCUAUAACUUGAAUAUUUACUUUUAAUUAAGCUGAGCACUCUUUAAGAAAAUCCUUUUAAAUCCCUUGUUACUUGACUUUAGCCACACCAAGCAGUUAAGAUUUUCGGCUUUUGAACUUUACAGAAAGUACCCUUAUAGGUGAAACCAACGAGCCUUAAUUAGGUUAUGAUUUAAUUACGAGUGUACAAGGUAUUUUUAAAGGAGUGAUAGACAGCUUUUGAAACUGUCAUUGCAAAACUGUCACUGAGACAGUCAAAGAGAUCCCACCCAAACAACUCCAUUUUGUUUCCAGGUUUCCAGCCCUCAAGCUGUCCUUGCCCAUCUCUGGGUGUAGGCUAAACCAACUUUGGGAGGAGCCUGGUUUACAGUCUAUAGUCUAAAACAAAGACGAUAACAGCGGCUUCCCAAGAUAUAUUUCCCUCUUACCUGGGGACCAGUCCAAGAAACUAACCACAGGAUUAGAAACCAUGGCCCAGGAGCUGGAGGCCACAAGAUUUUGACCCUCCCUAAACUGCUCUCAAGAUCAGUACUUAAGAUAUUUUGUAAACCCUGCCCUUGAUAGAUCAGCUGGCACCACCCAGAUUGACAAACUGGCUUAUCUGAUUUAGCACAAAAAGACAGCCACCAUUGUAAAAUGGCGGAGACUAAAACAAAGUAUUGCCAUGCAGUUACAGAUGACAUUCCCAAAGACAUGAAACAAGAUGGAGACCUGUAGCCGACUUUGCCACUGACCGCUUUGCUGGACUGGCUUGAACAGCAGGCUUAUGGGGUCCUGGGCCUGCAUCCUAACCUAAGAUUCCCUUUCUUUGACAGAACCAUACAGAAAGACAUGCAAAGCACACAAGAUUGUCUACAGCUUAAGGCCAGCCUUACAAAUCCUUUUUCAUUAGUUAUACAUUUACAGAGAACAUCAACAGUGAUCCUUAUUAUCCCUUUUACCGGUUUGCACAAGGAGAGAGAAGCCAAAAGCCCAACUGCUAAGAAAUGUUUACCCUUUUGCCGGCACAUCAGGCUUCUGGGUCCACUUUCCCCUAGCUCAACUCUAUGCCAAGCAUUUUAAGAUUUGGCAAAUUAACUUUUCCUAGGUUGGAACAACAUUAUAAAAGAGACAGAAGCCAUUUUAAACCACAAAAGAAGGAAAAACACCUUAGAAAGGAGUUUCAAUUAGGGUUGUUAAGAAGUAAUACCUCUCUUCCUAUUGGGAAUGGUGUUUCCCCUAUUUCUUUGCCUUCCCUAUUUUUCUCUUUUCCCUUCUGGCCCACUAUAGGAGACAUAUUGCUUAUCUCCAAAAUUUUCUUCUGCUUGCAGAGCUGCCUGUUUUAGCAGCAGUGAGGGUUUGACUUAGCAGCAACAUAACAUCCCUCCAUAUGAGGUCAAAUACGUGAGUUAAAUUUUGGAAAGCUUCUAUAUACCUAUCAGGGUCGUCAGAAAAUCAGCCUCAGUUUGCCUUUACUUGCCUAAGGUCAUUAAAGGGGCCCAAAAUAAGAGGGACCAUCAGAUGAUUUCCUUGAAAGUUACUUUUUUAAUUUUGGGGAACUAGUUUCCCUGGACCUGCCCGAUAUGGUUGCUAAAAGAGCUGGCUUGAUCUUGCAAUGUUGCAAAGGUCUAGUAAAAAGACCAUACCCUUGUGCAAAAGAAAAUAAGCCACUUUUUCUUCAAAGUUUCAAGGUCGAAGGAGUCCCAGUGCUUCAACAUAUACUCCAUGGGAGUGCACAUUGAAGACGAUCUGUUACCCAUCUAGAAAAAGAAGUGAGAAUAAAAGCGUCCUUUUAGUCUCCUUCCUUUCAGUAUGUGAUCCAGGGUGGAGAUGAAAACAAUAGAGGGCAUCCCCCCAACUAUUUUCUCUCUGUUGCUCCAGGAUUCCCGGCACCUGCUUAAAUGUGCCACCCAUGACUGCAGGUGUGACCCUCCAAGCUGUGGCACCAGAGGAACUGAGUUCCUUGGUCACGCUGUCCCCAAGCAAUCAGUACUCUGCCUUUUAUUUCCCUUUGACCUUCUAGACUUGCGUGGCCUGUGUGCCUUCCAAAACACGGAUUUCAAGAAAAACCAUGUAAUUGGGCAAGGCCCCUUUAAGGGAGGGGGAGUGCUAGAUUGAACUGUGUAUUCUGCUAUUAUAGCCCAUGCUAAAGCAUUUACUCAUGGAAGAAUGGUUCUGGUUAACUUCCGGACUCAAAAAUCCCCUUACUAAUUCAGUACUGUCUUAAUAGGAGACAAAAUCAAUGCCUUAAAGGAACGUAGGAGCCUAAUGGCCGUUUUCCUGCCAGUGGGGACAAUAUCGAGACUAAAAUUCGGCUAGGGAAGACAUCUUACUCCUAACUGUUAAAAGCAAAAACUUCCCGUUCCCAAAAGAGGCCUAGAGCCUGAUUUCUACUAGGCGGCUUAGAAAUACCAUGUGCUUGCCAGGGAAAACAGAGAGAGAAACAUUUAUUGAGUUACUGCCUGCCGUGAUUCACGAUCUUUUCUGACAGACCUGUUUUCCCUGAACUGUAAAGAUUCCUGCACAUUGAACACCCAGAGAGAGGGUAAGAGACCACCAAUAGAAAGUUUGGUGACAGGGUAGCUGGAAGAAAGUCUUGAGAUUAAAGGACAGAUUUGAAGUUGAGAUCCGCUCCAUACUCACCAGUCUGAUGAUUGAAUUUUCCUUUUCCCGCCCAUGCACCAAAAUGAUAUGGCUCUGAUGAGUGGAGGAACACCAGGGUUCUUGUUCCUCAGGCUGGUUUAGAUAAAACAACAUGGACACAUGUGGAGUGGUUUUAAGGAGUGGAGAGUUUAAUAGGCAAGAAGGAAGAGAGAAGACAGAUGGAAGAAGCUCCCCCUUACAGAGACAGAGGGAGGGGGGCACCAAAGCUGAAAGAGGAGGUCCCCCAAGUUCCUGUUUUUAUUAGCCUGGAACUUGAUAGUAAUGACAUUAACUGAAAGUAGGACAUAAACUAUAUAUUUUAGUUUAAUAUGUAAAAGGAUCUUCUGCAUCACUAAAGAAGAAAAGUGUCUUGCUGGGAAUGAGAUUAGGAAACAAAUUUGGGAAAUACCAUUGUUCCUUUUUUGUGGAGAAAGGUACCCUGUCCAAAAAGAAAAAUGUCUUGCUUUGCUAGAUAAAUGCACCGUUUUGCCUAAAAACCAGUGUAACAUUUUAUUCUAAGUCAGAAGUAAUUACUGAGCUGUGGUUUUGUGUUCUGUAUGUAUAAUCUCAUUUAUUGACAGUUCUAACCUAGUAAUGAAAGUGCAACAGGAGAAUUAUAACCAGAAACAUCUAACUGUUAUAUUAUACAUACAUGUACUGUUUAACUGUAAUUGUGAAAAUGCAUUUUGAAAGUUGGAAAAAAAGAAAGGUUGCCUCUAUGGUUUGGCAGCUUAAUACCGAAAAGUAGACAGUGUCUUGCGGGUCAUAGAUCAUGGGACUCAACAUAAAGUCAUACAGCUAAGACUUGUUACAGCAACAUAAUAAGCAUAUAUAGCCUUUCUAAGGUUAGCAUAAGGGAAAAAGAGAAGGUAGAGUCUGGAGGAACCAGCGUGCAGGUCUCCUUAUGCUCUCUCCCUCUCAUGAGUGGUCAUACAGAGCGCAUUCUUGUAGCAAUAAAAAUUUGGCAACACGUGUGCCAUGUUUCUGCUCGAGGAGCCCAUUAGAGACUUGGCACCCAAAGUUUCUAUUGUAGGUUGGUCCUGUAGGCACUUUCUGCUUUGCAUGUACCAAAAUUCCACAUUCCCAGAAGGAAAGCAGGUAUUCAACAUGACCCACUUUUAUUUGCACAAACAAUCUAGUAAAAGGCCAACCUUGGCAGCAGGUCUUCCUAAGGAUACUAGUCUCAGUCUGUGCACAUAAGCUGAAUGUGUAAAAUGGUUAAAUACUGGACCCUUCUGUAACUGAUCACAUGCAAACUGCUUAAGGGCAGAAGUGGGCCAGUUUAAUAAGAAUGAGUUUAAAUACAUGAUUCCUGUUGUAUUUGGGGCAUGCUAAAAAAUACUGGGAGUCCUUUAGGUUAAGUUAAAGACAAUAACCUAAGCUUACAGGAUUUUAAACAAAAUCUUUGAUAUAUUGGCUGUUUUUGUUUGCUUCCUUUUGCUCUCAUACUAUGCAUAGAGUUACCUGAAAGAAUUGUGUUAAUUUAAAAAUUUGGAUGUCAUUCCUUCCCCACAGUUUACUUGGAAAUUGGUGUUCAAAUAUUUGGAAGGAGCCAUUCUUUUUUUUUUUUUUUUUGAGACGGAGUCUCACUCUGUCGCCCAGGCUGGAGUGCAGUGGCGCGAUCUAGGCUCACUGCAGGCUCCGCCUCCUGGGUUCAUGCCAUUCUCCUGCCUCAGCCUCCCGAGUACCUGGUAUUACAGGCACGUGCCACAAUGCUCAGCUAAUUUUUUUGUAUUUUUAGUAGAGAUGGGGUUUCACCGUGUUAGCCAGGAUGGUCUCGAUCUCCUGACCUUGUGAUCCACCUGCCUCGGCCUCCCAAAGUGCUGGGAUUACAGGGGUGAGCCACCGUGCCCGGCCUGGCACCAUUCUUUAAGAAAGAAGUACAAGGGAAUAUUAGAUUUUUAUUGUGUGGUUUCACAUCAGUGUAAUUAGAAUAUAGGAAAUUUGUUUAAAAUAAUAGGCCUUUUCAUUUGACGAGAUUUAAAAACACAGAUUGGCUGUGGUAUCUGGGCAUAAUUUGAUAUAGAUAAUAGUAUUUUCCUCCAUAUCGAAAAUUGAGGUAAGUUUUAUAACCUCUUUGAUGCAUUUUCCUAGUAGAGUUAAAAAUGUUGAAGUAUAGCCACCAAAACAUUCAUGUUGGUUAUCCUUUUUUUUUUCCUUAAUGAAAAUGUACUACUUUGGUGGAAAAAAGUUAAUAAUUUCGUUAGUUGGUAGGUGAAUAAUGAGUGAUAGAGACUGUUCUGACACCAAUUGUCUGACACCAACUGGGUAUCCUGCAAUUCAUUUCAAUUCUGACACUAACUACCCAGAGUUAACACAAACUACCAGGCACACAAAGUGUUCAUCCACCAGGAAGCUCCUUGAACUUUGAGUUUGCAGAGUUUUAUUGGCCACAUGAUUAACUUCCUUCUCCAGCUCCUCUUUAAUCUCUGAACAUCUGGGGGUGUGGCUAAAAGUUCCAACCCUCUAACCAUAUGCUUGGUCUGUCUGGCAUGGCCAGCUCGUCCUUUCAAACUAUGUGAGGGCCUACCUUGAGUCACCCCCAAGUAUAAACUCAGAUAUAGUCCAAAGGGGCUUCUUAUGAAUAACAAAGACACUUCCAUUAAUCAGGAAAUUCCAAGCCUCUCUAAGCUCUGUACCAGGAACAGGAGACAAAGACUAGAUUUAUUCUUCAUUAUAUGACAGAUACAUUUUUAUAUUUUGCCUCUGGUUUUAGUAAAGUUUUUGUUGUGAAGAACACAAAUGCCAGAUCAAAUGAGGGGGCUGUAAUUAGCAAGGCUGCAAGGGAUUGUGAGCAGUAAGGGAGAUAGGGAUUUUACUGGAAAUCCACCAAAGGAACUGGUAUGUAGCUAUGCCUCUCAGUAAGGGGAACUAGAAAGCUAUUAGGAAAUCAAGGCAUCUGGAGAAACUAUGUGUGUGUGCCCACCAACAUGUUCAUGUUUGCGCUGCAUUUUUGCUUUGUCAUCCUCUUGCCUCAGGUUGUUUUGCUCUCUUGUUUGACUUUCUAUGCCCUUCUCUACCCUAGGGCUUCUACUUAGAGUUUCUGCUUCCACAGGACUCCUUACAGCUUAAGUUCUAGUUUAUAUGUGGCUAUGCAUAUUGAAAACUUGGGUUCUUUUUUUGGAGACAGGGUUGUACAGGCUGUUGCACAGGCUGUAUUGCGGUGGUGUGAUCAUAGCUCACUGCAACCUUGAACUCCUGGGUUCAAGUGAUCCUCCUGCCUCAGCCUCCUACCACCCCCUGCUAAUUUUUGUUAUUGUUGUUGUUGUUAGAGAAUGGGGUCUGGCUAUGUUGCCCAGGUUGGUCUUGACCUAAGGGCCUCAAGUGAUCCUCCCACCUCAGCCUCCUAAAGCACUGUGAAUUUCAGGCAUGAGCUUGAGUUCUUAUUAACUGUCAGCCUGACUGGCUCUUUCCUAGCUAGGCUAGUCAGCUCGGCUGAGGAGUCAAGGGAGGACAGGCUUAUUACUAUGGAAAGCACUUCCAAAACAUUAAAAUGUUUCUCUUUAAAGAGUGUUUAUCAAUGCUCAAACCUGAACCAGAAAAAGAAAAAAGAAAAAAAAUGGAAAAGAGUGCUUAAAAUAUUAAGGAUAUUAAGCAUGUCAAUCCUUUUCUUAUUCCUAAUACCAAAAGAAGAAUUCCUAAGAUAAAAGAUUGAUAAGUGUCAUGACAUGAAAUUUAAUUGAGUUUAACAUAUUUAAGUAAAUAUUUGACUUUUGAUUUUGUAAGAUCAGCCGGGAGAAAGGACAAGAGAGCAAGACCCAAGUUCAGGCAAGCUUUUAUUAAACCCGCCGGCUGCUUUAUCACAGACAAAGGAGGCAGCAGCAGCCAGCUUACAGAAUGAGGGGUUUAUAUUGGGGAGGGAGUUUGAGGGAGUUCUUUGGUAUGGCCGCAUCCCGGGGUUGUUUGCUGGUUUAUUCUGCCACAUUAUCACCUUGUGACGUUUAUGGUACCGGAGAUUGUAGGUAAAGUUUGUUUAUGCUUCCCACGACCUCCCUCUGUGCGGUCCGGAUGGUUUGUAAUUGGGGUUUGCUUUAUAGCAGCGAGGCCUGAUAGGUAAAGUCUGCUGGCUUCACUGUGGCGCCUAGAUAAGGGCUUAGAAAUGUAAAAAGGCUUGGGGCAGCAUGGAGAGGAGUUGCAGAGUGGGGAGGGGCAGGCAGCACCAAGAAGCUUCUUGAGGCAGUUUGUCCCUAACAGAUUUAUUUUCGGAAAGGAAUUCUGAACUCUGAGACCAAAUCAGUAUAUUUGUGUAUAUUUUUUCAUAUACUUCCAAAGUCUUUUAAUUCUUAAUUAACCUGAUAUUUAAGUGAAAAGGGUUUACUCUUUAUCCUAGUUAAUUACAUAUUCCAUUUGUUAAUGAAACUAUCCUUUGCUCACUGCGUUGUAAACACAUCUUUAUCUUUCUUUCUUCAAACAUAGAAGCCAUAAAAUAAGAUUCAUAAAUGCAGCUACAUAAAAAAUAUUUUUAAAUAUUUAAAUAUUAAUAUUAAUUUUUUUAAAAAUAAAAUAUUUUGUGUCAAAAUGCUCUAAAUGAAGUCAAAAGAGAAACAAGAAACUGGAAAAAAUAUUUGCAACACACAUUAAGUGCUAAUCUCCAUUAAUAUAUAAAAAGCUUCUAAAAAAAUAAGGAAAAUUAAAAGACCCUAGUUAAAAAUGAGCAAUGGUCAUGAACAGAUAGUUCCCAGGAAAACCAAUGGCACUUUAAUAUAUAAAAGCAUGCUUAAGUCAUUUAUAGGAGAAAUGUGAAAAACUACAGAAAGUUAAUAUUUGAGAACUUUGUUGGCAGGACUGUGGGAAAACUGGCACUUAUAGAAUGCUGGAAUGCAAAAUAAUAUAAUACUUAUGAAGGAUACUUUGGAGAUAUUUAUCAAAGUAAUAGUUGCCCUGGGGAAUCUCCCUGGGCUCUGGUGGGUGGUGGCUGUGGGGCUGCAGUUAGUGCGUCCAGGCCCUGUGGCUUGUUGGGCAUGAGGCAGCAUUCGUACACCUUCCAGGGUGGCUUUUCUUGCUCAGUUUCUGGAAAGGAGGAGGAAAUGCUGCAGCUUCCACAGUACUUUUGCUUAAGACAAAGCCAGGGAUCUGGAAUUUCAAAAGAGCUGGGGAUAGAAGGUUUGAGCUGGCCCCACCCAGCCCUCCAUUUGACCUCCAAAGCAGGCUGUUUCCUGCUGCUGGCUGAGUAGAGGCGGCCUUCCUGGAGGGAAGGGAGAAAAAAAAAUUAAAGUCGCCUUUAUUUGAUCUAGUGAAUCCUCUUCUAAGAAUUAUCCUACAUAGCUGAAAAAGUGAAACAAGUUGUAUAUGUAACAUUGAAGAAUAUUUUAUAAUAGCAAAAGGUUGGAAACGAUCCAGGGGCUCAUCAAUAAGGGACUGGAUAAACUGGUAGAUUCUCACAAUGGAAUACUAGAAUGCUUUAGAAAUGAAUGAGGUGGCAGUCUAUGCAGUAAUAGAAAAUUUGAAGGCUAUAUUAAGUGAACAAAGGCAUAUAAAGAUAAUACAUAUAAUGAGUUUUCUUCUGUGGAAGAAAAUGGGUGAAACAUAUGUUUACUUAUAUUUUUUAAACAUAUAGCACUGAGAUAUGAAAGCAGUUACCUCUAGGUGCUAGGAGAAUGGGGCAGGUGUAUCCAGAGUGAGAACAAAAAUUUUCUAUAUACAAUGUUUGGAAGAUCCAGGUGAUUUGUUUUUCCUUUUGUGUGUGGUAAAAUAUAUAUAGCAUAAAAUUUACCAUUUUAAUCAUUUAUAAGUUGCAGUCCAGUGGCAUUUCUUUUUUUUCCUUUUUCUUUUUUUUGAGACAGUCUCACUGUGUUGCCCAGGCUGGAGUGCAGUGGCAAGAUCAUGGCUCACUGUAAUCUCGACCUCCUGGGCUCAAGCAAUUCUUCCACUCCUUCCACCUCAGCCUCCUGAGUAGCCCGUGCCACCACGCCUGGCUAAUUUUAUUUUUUUGAGACAGGGUUUCCUUUUGUCACCCAGGUUGGAGUGAAGUGGCACCAUCUUGGCUGGCUGCAACCUCCACCUCCUGGCCUCAAGUGAUCCUCCCACCACAGCCUCCUGAGUAGCUGGGACUAUAGGCGCAGGACACCAUUCUCCACUAAUUUUUUAAUUUUUUGUAGAUAUGAGAUUAUAAGUUGUUUUAAAAAAAGUAAUAUGUGCAAAUGGUAAAUAGUACAAAAUUCAAUUUGUACUAAAGUUGUUUUAGUUAAAAGUCUUCUUUCUGCUUUUAGAUUCCCAGUUCUCAAUCUUCCUUCCUCCUUACAAGAUACAAGCAACCUUCAACCUUCCCAGAGAUGGUCUCUGUAUAUGAAAGACAAUGGUCUUAUUAUGAAGUCGGCAUAUUUAUAGCUUGAUAAAAACUGAAAAAUCUGUAGCCUAUUUUUAAUAGUGAUAUAUAAGGAAAUAACAUAAAUAAAAAUUUGGCAACAAGAAUCCAGGAGCAAAUUUAUGAUCAAUACACAAUUGGGCAAGUGGUGUUCAUACCAACCAUGCAAAAAUGGUUCAAUUUUAGGAAAUCUUUGAAUAUAGCUUUUAGUAGGUCAGAGGAAAUCAGUAUCUCAAAGUACUUUCAUGAUUUAGUUAUUUUUAAGUUAUUGAUCAUUUUGGAUUUUAUUUUGAGGUUGAUAGCCAUAUAAUGAUUUCACAUUUUAUUUUAAAUGGCUAGCUGUUGUCCCAAUACUAUUUACUGAAAAAUCUACAUUUUGCUCACUCUUUUUUUUUUUUUUUAAGAGACAGGGUUUUACCAUGUUGCCCAGGCUAGAUUUGAACUCCUGGGCUCAAGUGAUCCUCUCGACCCAGCCUCCUGAGUAUCUGUGACUGCAGGCAAGUACCCCUGUGCCUGCUCACUUAUUUAAAGUUCUACACAUCAAAUACUAAAUUCUCAUCUAUUUGACUUCUGGACUCACUGGUUGGUGUCAUUGACUGUCUUUUCCUGUGAUAGCAUAGAAUUAUUUUGAUUGUGGAAGUACUAUAAAUGUUGCUAUUUAUUGUGCCUCUUGCUGCCUAUCUAUAUUUAGACUCAUUUAUGUGAUGCCAUUCUGUAUACUCUAAAUUUUUUGGUUCUAUUUUAAUAAUGUUUGAGUCAAUGACUUUUCAUGACUCUUGACUUCCCUACUUCAACAGUUUACUAGUCUCCAUCUUGAAUGUUUUUAUUAAUCUAUUUUGUGUUAAUUCUACCCAGGUUUUUUGUUUUUCCUUGCUACUAUUAUAUAUAUUUCUGCCAGAUGUCACAUGGUAUAAAUGCCUAUAUGGACUUUUGUAACAGAAAAUUUACUUACUAGAAUUAAUGUAGGGGGCUUUUUAAUAAGAGUGCAUGUAACAUAGUAACAGUAGCAGAGCUAUAUCAGAAACAGUUCUGAUAAUAUUUCAUGAUCUAUAGUUUGUUGCAUGCCCAUUGCUUCAUACUGCUUGUGUUCUUGGUUGAGUCAUAAGUAAUUUUUAUGGGGUGUGUCAUGACUGUCAUAUUCAUAGAGAGUUGUCUGCCUUGCCCCAUGGUCUUUGCAUGGCUUAAACAGGACCCCUUUUCAUACACAAGUCAUUCAAUUUUAUGUUUUUAAUAGCAUCAAUUUUAGUGUUUAACAUGUGUCUCUGGACUAUGCAUCAGAAUACUUGACUGUUAGUGUGAAAUGAAAAUUCAUGGAUAUCAUAAUUUAUGUAACAUAAUUUAACAUUUCUUUAUUAAUAAGACUUUAGAUUGUCCCUUUCACAAAAAAAUGGUGCGGUUAAAACUUAAUCCUUGUGUCUUUUUGUGAGUAGUUCUAUGAUUUCUAUAUGAUGGCAUCCUUGAAAAAGUUGGUAAAAAUAAGAAUAGUUCUUAUUUAUUAAAGUUCUUCUCAAAUUGCUCUUCCAAAACAUUUUAGUUUAUACUGCAAUGUUAACCAUUUUACACUUGCUUAAGUAAUUUUCUUCAAAUACACACGAGUCCAGGCUAUUUAACCUUAUUUUACCGCUAUAGCACAAAACAGGUUUUCCAAAAUUGUCCUUGCACACCUGGGAUUUUACAAGGAUAUUAUAAUCUUGGUUCAGUUUGACUUACUGAAUUUGUAGUAAGUAUAUUUUAGCACAUAGAAAAUUCAAAAUAUGUGUUAAUCUGUUUAUAGGGUAAAUUUUUAUGAGGGUGGAUGUCAUCCUGUUUUUUUUUUUUUUAAUAAAUGUUUUGUUUCAGAAUGUUUUUUAUUUACAGAAAAGUUACAAACAUAGUACAGAGAGUUCCCAAAUGCUCCACACCGAGUUUUCCCUAUUGUUUUUUUUUUUUUUUUUGAGAUGGAGUCUCGCUCUGUUGCCCAGGCUGGAGUGCAGUGGUGCAAUUUCGGCUCACUGCAAGCUCCGCCUCCCGGGUGCACCCCAUUCUCCUGCCUCAGCCUCCGGAGUAGCUGGGACUACAGGUGCCCGCCACCGUGCCCGGCUAAUUUUUUGUAUUUUUAUUAGAGACGAGGUUUCACUGUGUUAGCCAGGAUGGUCUCGAUCUCCUGACCUCGUGAUCCGCCCGCCUCGGCCUCCCAAAGUGCUGGGAUUACAGGCCUGAGCCACCGAGCCCGACCAGUUUUCCCUAUUGUUAAUAUCUUGAAUUAGUAUAGUACAUUUGUCUCCUUCUCCUUUUUGCCCUUGGUAACCUCUAAUCUACUUUCAGUCUCUGAAUUUGCCUAUUCCAAAUAUUUUGUAUAAGUGGAAUCAUACAAUAUUUGUCCUUUUGCUUCUGGCGUAUUUCACUUAGCACAAUGCCUUCAAGGUUCAUCCAUGUUAUAGCAUAUGUCAGAACUUUAUUCUUUUUUAUAGCUGAAUAAUAUUUCAUUGUGUGUAUAUGCCACAUUUUGUUUAUCAUUCAUUUUGUUUAUGUACCAUGUUUUGUUUAUAUACAUCUAUUAGUAUGUAUUUGUUUAGAUAUACAAUUUGCUUGUAUACCACAUUUUGUUUUUCUGCUAUCUAAUGGAUUAUGCUGCUCUGGAACAUUCAUGUGAUGCUUUUGUUAAUUGCUUAUACAUUUUAUUAAGCUAAUGAGCUUGGUCAUAGUAACAUAUAAAAUCAAGAAUCGUUUAACUUUUGCAAUAAAAAUCUUGAUGUUGACUCUGAAGUAGUAAGAUGCAACUUCAAUGUACUGGGAUUGAGGCAGCCAUAGCAAUAUUACCACAGGUUUUCCAAAAAUUAACACAAAUAUUUUCUAUUCUAGAUGUGAUAUCUUUGGCAUCACUGUUCAUUCUUUUCCUCCUUGAUUAAAGUGAAACAAUUACAUUAAAAUAGUUUUAUGAUUUAAAAAUCAUUCUUUUUUUAAGCUAUUAUUUUUAAUGUAGGUCAGUGUGUUAUGUAAAUUGAUGUCCACUACCUGAACAUGUGAUGCUUUCUCUUUUAUUCCUUGGUAUUUCCUCCAUAUUCUCUGAGGGCCUUCAGUCAAUUUUUUUAAAGGAAAUAAUAAGUUCAAAUAUGUAUCUAUGACUUAGGGUUACAAAGAAUAUUUUCUUUGCCUCCAGUAUACUUUGUAUUAAAAAAAUUAUAAAAGGCCAUAGGUAUUCAUUUUCAAAUAUUUGAAAAAAAAAGGCAUGGCACAAUUAAAGCAUAUGCAGAACCAACUUGGAUUAUUGCUAUAUUUCUUUCUUUCUAGUGUGUACGGAUAUUGAUGACAUUUUUAGGUGGCUCUUAACAAGAACAUUUUCCUCUCUUUAGAUGUGAAUGCAUAGAAUUCUUUCAUUUGGACCAGGAUCGUUUUAAAACAUUUCCUUUAUUUUUUGAUUAAAUUUUUUUCCUUUUAAAUAUUAGGACUUAGUUUUUUAUUAAAUUUGAACAUAAUAUAUUUAACAUACUUACGGAUACAUUUUUGUGGGCAUAUUUCUCUGACAAUUUCUCUUAUUACAAACCAAACUUGUUAGUGACCUGAUUUUGUGUGUGUGUGUGUGUGUGUGUGUGUGUGUGUGUGCGCGCAUGCGCGCGUGUUUUGCAUUUCUAUUCUUUGUUUUCUAGUUUCAUCCCUAUGCUAGGACAUGGCUGUGUUCGUUUCUCUUUCACUAGAUUUUUUUAAUGACUGUAAGGUUAUUCUACGCUUGUAAUCUGCUUUUGCAGUACUUUUCCAUCAAAAACAACUGUGUUACUUCUCAUUUAAAUAUUUAUUUAUUUAUUUUUGAGACAGGGUUUCGCUCUGUCACCCAGGCUGGAGUGCAGUGUCGUGAUCUUGGCUCACUGCGGCCUCUGUCUCCUGGGUUCAAGCAAUUCUCCUGCCCCAGCUUCCCGAGUAGCUGGGACUACAGGUGGACACCACCACUCCUGGCUAAUUUUUGUAUUUUUAGUAGGGACGGGGUUUCACCAUGUUGACCAGGCUGGUCUCCAACUCCUGACCUCAAGUGAUCUGCCUGCCUCAGCCUCCCAAAGUGCUGGGGGAUUAUAGGAAUAAGCCACUAUGCCCGGCCUCAUUUAAAUAUCUCUUAAUCAUCUUUUACCUGUUUUUCCAUUCUAAGCAGUGCAUUCUUUUUUUUAUAGCAGUCUUUUGAUAACAAUAGCUAAGAGGCCAGGCACGGUGGCUCAUGCCUGUAAUUCCAGCACUUUGGGAGGCUGAGGCAGGCGGAUCACCUGAGGUUGAGAGUUCGAGACCAGCCUGGGCCAACAUGGUGAAACCCCGUCUCUACUUAAAAAAAAAAAAAAAGAAUUAGCUGGGUGUAGUGGUGCAUGCAUGUCAUCCCAGCUACUCUGGAAGCUGAGGCAUGAGAAUUGCUUGAACCCAGGAGGUGGAGGUUGCAGUGAGCCAAGAUCGCGCCACUGCACUCCAGACUGGGUGACAGACUAAGAGAGUCUGUCUCAAAAAAAAAACAAAAAACAAGCAAACAAAAACCUCCCAAGAGUUAACAUUAACUGAGCAUACAUUAAAUGGUAAGUGUCACACACUGUUCUAUGUAUGCAUAGCUCAGUUUUUAACUUAGGAAGUAAAUUCUAAUAAUAUUCCUUAUUUUUUUCUGAUGGGGUAAUUGAGGGCAGCUACUCUCAGUAACAUUGAACCCGAUAGCACAUAGUGAAGACUCAUUAUCUUUAUCAAUGAUGUGUCAGUUGGAGGUAAAAAUUAGGUCCUUUUCAAUAUCCAGUGGUGACUGUGCUCCUAGGAAGAUCAGCCAAGGAUACACAGUCCGAAAAGUUUAUAGCUUAGGUAGGUAGGAUUAAGUGCAGUGCCUCUCUAGUACACACCUGGAUGUGACUCUUGUGUCCACAUGUUUUUCAAACCUGGCAGGAACAAUAACCCCAUUCAGAAAUGACUUCUAAAAAGGCUAUUUUUGCGGGCUUGCAGGCAUGCACUUGUAGCCCUAGCUACUCAGGAGGGUGAGGAGGGAGGAUUGCUUGAUCCCAGGAAUUCUGAGCUGUAGUGAGCUAUGCCGAUUGGAUUCCUGCACUAAAUUUGGCAUCAAUAUGGUGACCUCCCGGGCACGGGGGAUCACCAGGUUGCCUGAGGAGGGGUGAACCAGCCCAGGUCGGGAAUGGAGCGGGUCAAAACUCCCAUGAUGAUCAGUAGUGAGAUCAUGCCUGUGAAUAGCCAUUACACUUCAGCCUGGGCAACAUAGCAAGAAUCAAUCUCGCUCUCUCUCUUUUUUUUUUUUUUUAAAGAGCCAACCUUAGGAAGAAAUGCCUUUUUUUUUUUCUUUUUAAAGGACAUUUCUUCUAAGGUUGGCUUGUUUUAGGGAUAGCCAAACCUACAGGUUGUUCUAAUUGAUAUACUCAUCUCACCAACACUAAUGUUACUAUUGUUUUUAUUACAUUUCAAAGAGGUCAUCAAAUCAAUAAAAGUUCAGAACUUGGCAAGAAUGGCUAGCCAGUAAAUUCUAGACUUUCUCUUUGAACCCCCAUGUCUUACAAUGCAAGAAUGUAACCUCUUAAUUGCUCUAUUUGUAUUACAUUGUCAUCUUUGGACUUUCCUGGAUACCCUUGAUCUCUCUGGUAUUUCCUGUUAUGGUGAGUCUGUCCUAACAGCCUUAUUUAUAGACAUGUUUUUGCACAUUAACCACACUCCAUGGAAGAAGCCCUUUAACAUGAGACUUGUUCCUAAGUACUCCACUGGCUUACCAAGUAUAGGAUUACCCUUUGAUUACUUUAUCUGGCUACCAGGACAGAGAGAUUCUUGGGAGCCAACCAGCCAUCAGGUCAACUAUUUUGCUACAGAUACUGCUUUCUGGGUUUAGUCCCCUGUACUUUCAGGUCUUCAGCCUCAGUUUGACUUCCUGGCUUCUUCAGUGAGGAUUUUAGAGUUAUGUCAGGUGAGGAAUCAAUCCAUCCAGUCUGAAAUGUUGCUGGGAGGAGGGCUGUCUUUCUGUAACAGGGGAAAGUUUUAUUUAUUUGAACUACAGAAUAAGUUAUAGACUAUAAUGCAUUGUACAAUUGUUUGAUUUUAAAGAAAACUCAUUAUAGCUUUACUGUUCCAAAACUGAACAUCUUAUGUCUGCAUUCCUAUUUAUUUAUGAUCUACUCUGGGCCUUGCAGAUAUUCUGUUUCCUGGGUCCUCUAGCAAGUUAAUUAUUGGUAUUAAUCAUCUAACAAAUUAGUUAUUAAUGUACAUUGUACAGAUAAGUGUGAAUUGGAGAGAAUAAUUUUAACAAGAUCAGAAUGCCUUCCAGUUCAAUUUGAAUUCGAAGGCUUAAUUCAUGGCAUUUUAUAGUUCAAAGAAAGCUUUGAAUUAUUUUGGAUAUACUAACAUAUAUUACAGGAAGAGAAGUAUGGAUAAAUUUCCCAAUAGUUGCCUAGCAGAAGUAUAUACUUAGUAUAUGACUUACCAAGAGAGUGAUCACGAGUGAUUUAGGGAGCACUUUGUAGGUUUCCCCUAUUUACCUUUAGCCUUUUACCACAUCACCAAUGACCUCUUAUUUUCAUACUGUCUAUAGAAUUAAGUUAGUCUGCCCAAGAAGUCACUUUGUUUGACCCUGGUCCCAGUGCAUUCCCAAAUAUCAGGGAUUAUAUUCCCUUACUUUUACCUGGGCAUUGGAUGCCUCAUGUUCCCUUAUAUCAAACCUUAAAGGUAGCUUUUAGGCAGAAUCUGGUAGUGCUCUUGUGUCCUGAGGGUAGGACAAUAGAAGAAAAACUCAUUUGGCAUUAGACUUUUUCAUGGUGCUUAUUUGGAAGACCUUCUUCAUCUUCAGAAUAUUGAUCCAAGUCCUUUGGGGCCACUGCUACUGUCAGAGUUGUUUUGAGUUUGGCAGUACCUCUCCAGAGCCUCAAGGUAAGGGACAUGUGGUUUGAGAAGUGGAAUACAAGUCCAUAAUCUAUACAAUACUAGAGCUUAAUAGAUGAUUACUUUAUUACCUUGAUUAUACCCAUCAAUUUUUAGGUGUGAACAUUGAGAUCUGGGGUUGGGUGUAGGGUGGCUUGUGUGGGCUUCCCCAGGCUAGAUUGAAAACUCAAACAAACUGCAUAUACCCUUCUAUUACUUUUGUUUUUGGAGUUUAAGAAGUUUUAGAGUCUUGGCUUCUCAUUUAUUAUAUAACAAAAGGGAAAUAAAAAGUAGGAGUGGGAUAGUGUAUAGCUGGUAAACAUCUCCUGUAAUACAAGUGCUGAUGUUAUUGGGAAUUUUAUUUGAAAGUUUUUGGGAAGGGGAGAUAGUUAAGGGUAGGGCCCUGAGGGUUUGGGACAGGAGGGAAGGGAAGGGAUGGAGGAUCUAUCUGUAAUCUGUUUCAAAGAAGGAAAAACUGCAUAGUGCUUUGAAGAAAUUGGGCAUCAGUCCAAGAAGAAAUGUGAUGCCAGCAGCCAUCUUCACAUCACCCCCAAGCCUGUUCCCCUAUCUUGCUGGCAAGUCAUAGCCCUACUUUUACCCCCUUUUGCUGGUUUCAUGUAUUUUGAGGGUCAGCAAUUGUCCAUGCGCUGGGUGAGUUCAAACACUGUGUGAGGGACCACUUGGGUUUAGGACACGGGAACUAUGUGGAAGGGAUGGUUUCUUGUGAUAUGGGGCUGUGGUGUCUGUGUGAUGGGGAGCAUCAGAGAAGGUGUUUGGGGCAGCAUGGAGGGAAGGGUGCAUAUCCUGUAAGAAUCAGGGGACAGGGUUUCAUAACCUAUCAUGUGCCCAGAAAGUCAGGAAUGGCUGCAGUUCUAUUACCAAGCCCUGACAAGCAGCCAUUUUGGUUAUUAGCAGUGACUUUUAAAAGUUUCUCCUUUGCAACUUUACUAUUUCACUUUCAACCUGCUCAGUAUGUUGAAAAUGAAGUUUAUGGACUAUCUUUAUAUAAAAGUCGCAACUUGUAAUGCCUCCAUUAUUAUAUGCAGGCUUUCUCUUUGCCCCUUCCUUGGCUUCUAGUGCCGUGUUGGGGUUGAUGGGCCAGCCUGCGUCCUGUGAGUGUUUUCUGAAUACUUAUUAUUGUGUUCAAUUUUUUGAUUGAUGGGAGAGGGGCAGAGGGACUAAAAUGGGGAUUGGGCUGUGUAUAUUCCUAAAGUUUUCUUGUGGUUUUCACAUGUUCCAGAUAAUCUUAGUGUUUGGUAAGUACAGGACAUUUAAGCAACAAACACAACUACAGACAUUAGAAGUCAUCUGCUUCAGCAAGACUUUAAGCACUUCCUAUAUUCCAUGUUUUACACUUGAGGGUACAGUUAAGAAAAGUUAACUUACUGAGAAGUUUCUUUGAUCCUGAAACUAUAUUCACCUGAUACAGGAAACCAGUCUUCUUCAAAGGUGAUGAGAAUGCCUUGACAAGAUGAUAGGGACCAGCACUGUACAUUUGUUCCCAAGGGAAUACUGCAACAUGCAGGCACAGCCCUUGGUCACCUAAUACAUGUAUUUGUGAAAUUCCAUGGGUUCCCUUAAGUUGGGAGCUAAAAGGGUUAGCUUUGGGUUAGCUGUGGUUUUCACUAGUUUCUGCUUGACAGGAUCAGAAGACUGCCGAGACAGAUACUGCUAUGCUGAAUUUUUCAUGUUCAUCUCAGGGACUCACUGCAUACUAUUUUUUAACUACAUGUGCUAUUCAGAGUUAGGAGAUCUUGGAUGGGACUCCAAAAUAAAUGAUUUAAGAAAUUCCAUACCUUACAUUAGGACCAGAGCUUGUAGUAAAGGAUGUUGUGAUAUGGUUUUGACCCAGAAGGAUGCUUUUGGGUAUCAUCCUCAAGAAUGUCUGCAAAAGGUUUUCAGUGAAGACAACAAAGAAUACCUGUGCUUUCACUGGGAGGAGGAAUGAGCCUGAUGGUAGUAGUGCCUUUUGCUUGUGGUACAUGUAGCCAAAAGAGCUCUGUGAUGCCAACAAACAUUGAGAAAGGUAAUCUUUGGUCACUGCCAGCUGGAUUGGCCAGUGCACCUUGUAUUCAGUACUCUAUAUUGAAGUAUCUGUCCUUUGACUGUAUGCGGUGCUUAUUGUACUUAGUUUUUAGGGCCCUGAAAGCUUUCUUUGCACUUACUGGUUCAAAUCCCAACAUCAACUACAUGUUAAAAGCAGUCAGGAAAAGAAUGAUUUGGCUUAUUUUAAGCUUUAAGCAUAACAUACUGACAGAGCUUAUGAAUAUAUAUACAAUAAAAUUUAUAUAAUAAUAUAAAUAUAUAACUAGCUUACACAUCUUAAAAUUUAGAUCCAGCACACAAAAUAACAUUUUAAAGCUAAAUACUUUGGAUUUUAUGCAUGAGGGAACUACAAACUGCACACUUUCCACAAGGGAGGGAAUAAAUACUUUUUUCUGUGUCCUUGGAGUGUGGGUGGGAUUCGUGGAUACAUUUCUCUGGUUCACUAUUUCAAUGAUAUGAAGGAGCCUCAUGUUGCAGCACAGAAGAUUUUUCAUCGUUGGAAGUUAAGGUUAGUUCACCUUCAUUGAUUCCUCCCUACACUGGACUAAAGCAUUUAAUCUAGAAACACUUAGGUCUCUAUAUAGCUUGUCAUAAUCUCUAUGCAUAGAAAGGGGCUUUCUAGAACCUGUCAGCAUAUUGUGAAAUAUCUCCUAUAUCAACUGAUAAUAAGAAAUCAGAAUUGCUUAAUUGUGGCAUUAAUAAAGUAUCACCUAGAUUGAACUAAGCAGGAAAAUUUUAGAUGAGAGUUUACCAUCACAAGCAAUAAACACACAACAGUCCCUGAAUCCUAAAAAGGUGGAGUUCUUGAUGGUAUUAGUGCGUAUCUUCAAAUUAUUUGCUCUCUGGAAAGAUGCUGAUAAAAUUUUGUCCACUACCAUAGUAUCCCUGCUGGAUGGGAACCAUAUCUUUACAAUAGACUCUCCACCCAUUGGCAAGGUGAUAGCUGUAAGGACAGUCACCUUGCAAGUGGGCAUGAAGCUGUUAAUUUUUUUUUUUUUUUUUGUCAACUGAGGUUUUUCUGCUAUGGUUCUGAACCAUUUACCUGAUAGACUGGGUUAUAUAUUCCCAGUUAACCACUACUGGGUUAAGUGACCUAAUGAUAUUAGUAGCCACUUAAUUAUUUUCAAGCAUUCUGCCUAGGACAUCGUUUCAUAAAAUUAAGGUUUAACAGACUGAAUCCCAACAUUAGUAGUAUAACUAAAUUCUCUCAGGAGCUUUUUAUGAAUGCCUUAGUAGUACUUUGGCUUCUUGAAGAGGAGCUAAUGCCAUAACCCUUUUUAAAUCAUCCAUCUGCAGCUGGGCAUGGUGGCUCACACCUGUAAUCCCAACACUUUGGGAUGCUGAGGUCGGCGGAUCACAGGGUCAGCAGUUCAAGACCAGCCUGGCCAGCAUAGUGAAACCCUGUCUUCACUAAAUACAAAAAAAAAAUUACCCGGGUGCGGUGGCGAGUGCCUGUACUCCCAGUUACUUGGGAGGCUGAGGCAGGAGAAUCACUUGAACCCGGGAGGCAGAGGUUGCAGUGAGCCGAGAUCAUGCCACUGCACUCCAGCCUGGGCGACACAGCGAGACUCUGUCUUAAAAAAUAAUAAAUUGUCCAUCUGCUCCUGUUAUACAUGUUGAUAUAUGCUGCUUUGCAGUUGCAUUGUCAACAUCCAUUCCCAGAUUAUUGCUGUCCUGAAGUAGGAUAAACAUUUUAAGUAGUGCUACUCUAUCUUCUAGCUUCACUGGUUACUUUUUAAAUUUUAUGUGGAGACAAGGUUUUCUUGCUAUGUUGCCCGGGGUGGUCUCAAACUCCUGUGCGCAAGCUAUCUUACCACCUGGGCUCCUCAAGUGCUAAGACUACAUUACAGGGGUCAGCCACGGCACCUGCCCUGGUUUUUCAAAUUGGAUUUAACAUCCAAUUAGCAGCUAAACUCAGCAAAUGGGAUAUUUUGAUCUGUGUAUAAUUGAAAUUCCAAUUUUGGCUUCUCUGGACAAAAUGGGAAACAAUGGAAAUCUUUCAUAUGUAUUUGCAUGGCCUUGUCUUUUGGAAAUAACAGGUACAGUGCUGUCUUCUAAUGUUGAGACAGUAAAAUUUUAGUAAGAUUUUUCAGCUGAGGAAAAUACAGGAUCUUAAGGACUUCUUGGAGAUAGUAUUCAUGCUUUCUCAUAUACACAGUGAUAGGUGAAUUGUGUUUAGGGUUUUGUUUUGGGUUGGUUUUGGUGCAAUGUCUAAUUACAUUUGCCAACUCAUGUUACCUAGUAGGGAUAUUUCCAUUCUGUGCCAAUUGAUAUUUGGUACAGUGAAUGUACUCAAUAAAAUUAAAGGUUUGGUACUUGUUUUUGAGAUGGUGAACAACUAACGUGCAAAUCUGUAGUCCCUAAUGUAGCCUUUUGCUAUCUGACAUCUGUUUGACAUAUGCUUUGUCAAAUUGAUUCAACUCAAACUUGAAUACUUAUGUUUUGCCAAAUUUGUGUGAUCACAUUGUGUUACUAAUGUGUAACAUCAGCCUGUAACUUCAGCCACCUACUUUUUAUUUGUGGAUGCUGCUUAGAAACUUGCAAAUAACACUAUGAAUAUGUGGAGUUCCUUGACUGUCCACUCUGUUGUCCCUUUAGAGAGUACAUUACAUGCACAUUUCUUGUGUAUUUUCUAGUUCAAUUAGAAUUCCUCCGUUCUUUCCAGCCAAUUAUAAAGGUUUUAAAGGAACUAUUCAAUGCAAUGUAUUUCCAUAAGUUUAGUACCUAUGUACUUUUUCUUGGGAGUGGGGAGUUGGCGAGGGGAGUCAUGAAUUUUUGGCAAUGUUAAGUAGUAUCUUAUUGCCCAUAUUUUUCGCAUGUCUAAAUGCCAAAUUUUGUGAUGUAUUUUGCACAAAUAACUCAUUACUCUGAAUCUUAAGUAGUGCUUUAUUUGCCCUCACAAUGUUGCCCUUUAUAAAUUGAUAAAUUUAUGAAAAAAGAAAAUUCCUCUUAAUAUAACACUUCAGCAACAUUGGAAAUCAAUUAUUCAAUAAUAAAGACAUUUGAUGAAGCAACCAACAUUUUUGCUUUAAGUGUAGAGGUAUAUAUGCUUUGAUCCUUUAGCCUGAAUGUUUCAUAACCAAAUUUGAUUUCUUAACCAUUGUCAUUUGCAAGUAAUUUUAGAACUCCCUCCCCUGUAAUGGUAGCAUGUAUUUAUCUAGCACAUUUGUAAUCUUAAAAUUUUUAAUUUGGUGCUUCUUCAGGGACUUGGUAAUGAAUCAACUGGAAGUUUUGUACUAAAUUUGUCUACACAGCAGCGCUCUUUAGCUGGUGGCAUAGAGUCCAAAGUUAAGAAUCUGUAUCUGCUCCUAAUUAAUAGAAAUAUCAUUCUUGUCCUACAGACAAAAAUAGUUUUUAUAAGGACUUUUGACAAAGUAUAUACAGUAUAGGUGAAUUUAGUCAAAAAUAUUUGCCAGAUUCUCUUGGUUCUCAUAUGGCCAUUUGUUCAAUCCCAGUAGCUCCAGGAUAAUAGUGUUCAGUUUUCAUAGGUUGUAAUAUAUUGGGCCUUUCCAGAUUUGUUGUGGAAUUCUGGACAGUUGAUGUCUAAUCACAAGUUCUGUGGUACAUAAUUUGUACCAUGCAGUGUUGCAUUUUGCUGAUAUAGAUGGUUGGAGGUUCAUGUGAGUUUAGGAAAUCAGUUCCAUUAGCACUACAGUUUAAUGGCUCAGUGCUAUUUGCCCAGAAAUAUAUUGAAAUUGGUAGAGACCUUCAAAGUUUUAAAAUGUAAUUUUUUAUUGUACACUGGUACUGUAAUUCUUUGGUUCCCUGUUGUCUCAUUACAGUUAUGCCCUUUUAAAGUCCUCUAAAAUUAAGGGCCCUGUAGAAGUGAUGGUCAACUCUAUUUUCCAUAUGAAUUAUUAGAUUUGGUGCUGUCUUGUGAAGUAACUUGAUACGAUAGAUGUGUAGUAUGAAUUUUGUCCACAUGGUUGUGCCCUUGGCAGAACUGCACGUACCUGAAAUGGUUCCCUAAUUUUUUUCUAGUAUUACUAUCCAACACUUCCUCUCAUAAUCACUAGUGUAUUGUAUAAUUGUUAAGUGUCCUUUAUUCAUAUAUUUAAAUUAAAAGAGUACUCUGGUAGGAUUUUGAGGGCCAAUAGUGUAUUUCCACUGUUUGAGGUAUUAGGAGGGCUAUUUACUGAUACCUGUAGUGCCUUCCCAUUCUGUUUAUCAUGCACCUCUAAAUUUUGUGACUUCCUGUUGCACUAAGCAAUGAUAAUGGAAAUUCACUAGUAAUUGAUUAUUUAUAGUUUGUGAUAGUGGCAUUGGUAAUAUUGCCCUUCAGAGAUUAUUACUCCAGUAGCUAUCUAGUUUGCUGUUCUAUUAGUAAACCAACAUUAAUGUAGCUUUCUUGAGGGCAUUGUGAUUUUUAGCUAUUGUGGUAGGUUCUGAUAUGUAGUUUUGCUUGUAUGAUUUCCUUGUUUAUAGCUCAGUUUUUGUUACAUGGUAUGUGAAGUAGUAGGCUUGACAUUAGCUGUAUACAACACAUAAACUAGAUUUUUCAUCCUUGAACCUUGAAACUCCAAGGAGCUGUCCAGAUUUGCGUACUCUAUUGGAAUAAAAAGACUAGAAAGAAGCAUUGUUAUGGAAACCUUGCAGUACUCAGUUCACCCAAAAGACCUUUUAGAAAUGUUAGUUCACCAUUCCCAUCAGAAAUUUGAUUAUAGGAAGAUCAUAACAAUAUAAUCUGAUCUCCUUACUAUAGAGGCAAAAAAUAUAUUCAGUUAAAAGCUGUUUACAUAUAAUGUCAUUUUAUUUCCACACGAAGGUGACAUCUUAAAAUCGGUCAGUGUAAUUAUAUUAAAGUGGCUAAUUUCCUGUACAGUAAUUUCCUCCACCACUUAUCUAUGGGCGAUAGGUUCUAAUUCUCCUGGUGGAUCCCUUAGACUGGAUAGUACCGAACCCUAUAUGUUUUUAUCUACACAUACAUACUUGUGGCAAAGUUUGAGGUGUGACAGCAAAACUAGCACGAAUUUCUUUUUCCUGCACAAUUUCUCAAACUCCUGAGUUCAAAUGGUCCUCCCACCUUGGCCUCCCAAAGUGCACUUAGAAAAUUUGUUACUGCAACCUCAGUAUACAAUUUUUUUUUCCUUAUUCUGUUGAAAAUGUUCGCCUUUUUACUAAAGGAAGCAUUUUGUGGCUUCUCUUUGGCACGUCUGUAUUGAUGGCAUCACAGCUCUUAUAUUGGGGUCAUUGUUAAGCACUGUGUUACUGCAGCAGUCAAUCUGAACUGAGAAGGGUGCUAAGUGACUAAUGGAUGGUAGCAUAUAAUGUGGGGUAUACACUGGAAAAAGGGGUGAUUCUUUUUGCUGGACAGUUUGAGAUUUCAUUACAUUACUCUCAACGGCAGACAAUUUGGAAUUUAUGAAUUGUUUAUUCUUGGAAUUUUCCAUAUAAUGUUUUUGAACCACGUUUGACCCCAGGUAAUAGAAACUUUGUAAAGGAAAACCAUAGAUAAGGGGAGAAUACUGUAACGUUAGGCUUCUUUCCCCCCAUUUCUGUUUUAUUUUGUUUCCCUUAUUGUCAGAAAGUAUGUUCAGUAUGGCCUCCUUGUGUACACAAAGUAAUUUUUGGUGGAAAAGAAAGUACUACCAUUAGUCCACAGCAUGUCCUUCUGAAAUUAUGUUGGAUGCUUGUUAUCAUGGAUUUGGUUCUCAUAGGGAUAUUAAUACAGUACCCUAGUCAGUGUGUUAGUGAGCCAAAAAUAUGUUUGAAAAUGUUCAUGGAUGUUUGCGUCUUUUUUUUUUUUUUUUUUGGCUUGUUACAAGUUCUGGUUUAUAGGUUUUGACAUCCUUUGCAUUGUUGGAAGUGUGCCCAGUGUUGCUACCUAAUUUGUGGAAAUUCUGUAGUACCACCUUAGUCCACAGUGCGUCCUUCUGAAUAGUUGCAUAGCUUGCAUAACUAAUUUGGUGUGAAAUUCUAGAGUGAAAACUAAUAUGGUAACCUAAUCACUGUGCUAUGUUGAGGAUUUCCAAGGGUGCAUGAUGUAUUUUACGCAUUUUUCUAAUUACAAUUCCUGGCUUAUAGACUGCAUAGGUAUUUAAUAUUGUCUAGUAAAGUGUGUUGAUGUACAAUUUCUUGUUUAAUUCAGUACUAUUAUUAGCUACAUGGUUCUGCUUUAUCGUUGCCAUUAAACUAAAUAUAUACUGAUUAUUUUCAUCAGGCACCAGCGUUAAUGUGUUUCUCCUAAGUGAGUUGACCUCAUGGGAAUUCAUCACAUCUGUGGACUAUAUUUUAGUGUUAAAGGCUUAAUGUACUACUGUUUCAAAACUUACAAGUAUUGGUAUUUCACAUGCUUUUAAAAGUACUGUUGUACUUUUUUUUUUUUUUUAAGACAAGGUCUCUCUGUCACCCAGACUGGAACAUGGUGGAGCAAUCAUAGCUGAUGGCAGCUUUGAACUCCUGGGCUCAAGCCAUCCUCCCGCCUCAGCCUCCUGAGUAGCUGGGACUACAGGUGUGCACUACCAGCCCAACUAUUUUAUUUUAUCUUAUUAUUUUAUCUGAGACAGCAUCUCGGUAUGUGACCCAGGGUGGUAUCAAAGUCAUGGGCUCAAGUGGUCCUCCCACCUUGGCCUCCCAAAGUGCUGGAAUUACCACACCUGGCCUACAUGUUGUAGUUUUGUUGCAGUAAGUUCAGUUGACUUUUGUUAAAUGUACCCCAGUAAGCACAUGCCCUGUGGUAAGUCCUGUUGUGUAAUAAAAAACAUGGUAUGUAUCAAUGUGCUUUUCCUAUAGUUGUCCUCUGUCUUCCCAGGUUUUUUUUUUUUUUUUAAACAGUCAUCUAGGGUCCAUAAAUAUGAUGCAGUAAUGAGUGAUGGUUUAGUUUUGCUGGUGUUCUCUAGCAGCCCCUAUUAUAUACUUCACAGUAUUUUCAUUCUCAUCUCACUUCUGGUUUCAAAAAUAAUUUUUUUUCAUGGCAAAAUUUGUUUAGGUAGUGUGCUUUAGUGUUGUCACCUGGUGGUUCAGCACGUUAUAGUGCUUUACACGUGUAACUUCAUUGUUUACCUUUAAUUCAACGUUGCUAUUUAGAAAGGGUGCAUUCCAAUAGUAUUAACCACUUAACCCAUUGCCACUCCAAUUGGCUGUCUGGAAUUUUUUCUGUUGGUAAAAUGUUAGUUAUUAAGAGUUGCUAACCAUAGGUUGAAUGGUUCCUGAGGUACUUUAACUUGCCAUAUUAUGAAAGCACAGCCCAUGAUUUGUCAUACUGCAAAGAUUGACUUAACUACUUUAACAAGAAACGUAUUCCAGAAUUUUAUCGUGGUGUGCAGUCAUUGCUUCUAUCUUGCUGUCCUUUAUUAAAUAGUAUUAAUUUACACCAUAGUCACCAAGAAGACUAUAUUUUGGUAGGCUUUGGGGUUUAUCUGCCUGCAAGAAAAUUUAUUUUCCACUGCUUUAUACUGGUAAUUAGAUAUUAUUGUACUUUCAAAUCUUUCACUGAAAAAUAUCUAGUUAGGUCAGCAUGCCCUAUGUAUUGUAGAUGCGGUUCUGCUAUGGUUUUUCACCACCGGUGGUUGAAUGUAGGGUGGUACCUUUAUCUAGUUUUGAGUUUCUUUAGUGACUCAUUUUUGCAGUCUUACAUCUGCUACUCCUCUAUUAGAUUAUUAUUUAGCCCAAAAGUAUUAUGGGAUCAUUUGACUUCAUGGCGUCACUGGAAAACUUAAAUGUUCUGUUGGAUGAAAGUGUUUCACUUAUAGUACUAAUCGCCAUGUGGUAUUCCUUUACUUUCCCUAACAUUUGCUUGUUUGUUUUUAUUGUGUAUCUACAUGUAUUGAGUAGUUAGGUGCUUGUACAAAUCUUCUACCUUCACUCAUGGUCAAUCAACUGUAAACCUUACCUGGGGCCAACUUGCCAAAGGUUUUACAGUUAACAAAUGGUAUUUGAAAUUUGUAGUAAGAGUAAAUGCUUUGGAGUAGGAAUGCCUAUCUCAGCAAUCCUGCUAAGCACUAUACUCUGGAUAAGGUAAUUACCUUCUUUUGUAGAAAAGAACUCGUGAUAUAAUUCAUAUAAUAUAAAGUUCACCAUUUUAAAGUUUAGUGACUUUUAGUAUAUUCAUAGAGUUGUGCGACCAUUGCCACUAUUAUAGUUUACAACACUUUCAUCACCACCUCAUUAGCACUUAUUCCCUAUUUCCCUUUUGCCAACCCUGACAACUACUAAUUUAGCUUUUUGUCCCUAUGGAUUUGUCUAUUCUGGGCAGUCAUAUAAAUCAUGCAAUUUCUUACCCUUGUUACUGGCUUCUUUUAACUACCAUGUUUUUUUGAGAUUCAUCUAGAUUAUGGUAUAUAUUACUGUUCUUUAUUGAUGAAUAAUAUUUCACUGUAUGGAUAUAUUUCAUUUUGUUUAUCCAUCAUUUGACGGAUGUUUGCAUUUACAGAUGUUGUCUUUUGUCAGUAAUGGUGCUAAAAACAUUCAUGUACAACAUUUUAUGUGGGCAUGUUUUCAUUUUUCUUGAGUAUACAUUAAGGAGUAUAAUUGCUUUGUCAUGGCAUGUCUAGGUUUAAUGUUGUGGGUAAUUAACAAAUUUUAAUAAGGUGCCUGCACCAUUUUACAUUUUCAUCUGCAAUAUGAGGAAUUACAUUUAUUCAUAUUCUCACUUGUUAUUUUCUGCCUUUUAAAAUUAUGGCCACCUAGUGGAUAUGAAAUAUCUUAUUGUGCUGUUGACUUGUAUUUCUGCAUUGAGCAACUUUUCAUGUGCUUAGUGGUAAUUUGUGUAUCUUUGGAGAAAUGUCUGUUCUAAUCCUUUGCUCAUUAGAAUUGGGUUAUAUGUGGUUUUGUUGUUAUCAGAGUUCUUUAUAUAAUCUGGAUAACAGACUCUUAUUGGAUACAUGAUUUACAAUUAUUUUCUUCCAUUCUUUGUAUUGCCUUUCCACCUUUUUGAUGACAUUGUUUAUAGCACAGAAGUUUUUAAUAUUGAUGAAAUCUAAUUUAUCUAUUUUUUUUUGUUAGUUGUGAUUUUAGUGUCAUAACAAAGAAACCAUUACCUGACCUAAGUUGUAGCUCUUACAUUUAGGUGUGUGAUUCAUUUGGAAUUUACUUUUGUAUAUAGUUUAAGGAAGAAGUCCAACUUAGUCCCUUUGCAUAUGGAUAUCCAGUUUUCUCAGCACCAUUUGUUGAAAAGACUACUUCAUCAUUGAAUUGUCUUGGUACCCUUGUUGAACAUCAGUUGAUUCUAAAUAUAAGAGUUUAUUUUGGACUCUCAAUUUUAUUUUAUUUAUCUCUAUAUCUAUCCUUAUGCCUGUACUACACAGUAUUGAUUAUUGUAGCUUUGGAGUAAAUUUCAAAAUCUGGAAGUAUGAGUUCUCCAGCUUUGUUCUUUGCUUUGGCCUUGAUUAUUCUGAAGGCUUUGAAUUUCCAUAUGAAUUUUAGGAUCAGCUUGUAAAUUUCUAGAAAAUGCCAGAAUUUUGCUAAGGAAAGCAUUUAAUCUGUAGAUCAAUUUGUGGAGUAUUGCCAUGUUAGAAAUAUUAAUAUUCCCAAUCCAUUAACAAUAGAUACCUUUCUAUUCAUUUUAUUUUUCAUAAUAUUGAAAAUGGAAUUAUUUUCCUAACUUUAAUUUUGGAUUGUUCAUUGCUAGUGUAUUAAAAUACAAUUAGUUUUCUGUUGAUCUUGUAUCCUCCAAUGUUUCUGAACUUAUUGGAAAAGCUUUUCUAAUAGUUUCACUAUUAGCAUUUUUUUGUGGAUUCCUCUGGGUUUUUAUGUUUAUGUCACCUAUAAAUAUAGAUAGUUGUACUCUCUUUCCAAUUGCAUUGAUUUUUUUUAUUUCUUUUUCUUGCCUAAUCACCAUGGCGAAAACCGGCACAGAAGUAGCAAGAGCAGUCAUCCUUGACUUGUUUCUGACUAGGGGUAAUACAAUUAGAUUUUGACUAUUAAAUGAUGUUAGCUGUAUGGUUUUUUUUUUCUUUUUCUUGCCUAGGUUCACAGAGCUAGCUAUACAGUAUUUGUAGAUACCCUUUGUCAAAUGUAGAUAGAUCCCUUUGUUCCUAGUUUGUUGAGGAUUUUAAAAUUAUAAAUGAAUUUUGUCAAAUGGCUUUUUUAUGUCUGUUGACACAAUCAUGAGGUUUUAUCUUUGUUCUAUAAAUACCAUGCAUAUGUAAAUAUCAUGUAUUGAAUUAAUUGGGGAAGUGUUUCCUCCUGUAAUAUUUUUUGAAAAGUUAUGUAAAUAACUGAUGUUUAUUAUUUAAACGUUUGCAGAAUCAUCAGUGAAGUCAUCUGUUCAUGAAUGUUUCUUUAUGGGAAUUUUGUAGAUUAACCAUUCAAUCUGUUUUUUUUUUUUUGAGACGGAGUUUCACUCUUGUUACCCAAGCUGGAGUGCAAUGGCGCGAUCUCGGCUCACUGCAACCUCCGCUUCCCGGGUCCAAGCUAUUCUCCUGCUUCUGCCUCCCGAGUAGCUGGGAUUACAGGCAUGCGCCAUCACUCCCGGCUAAUUUUGUAUUUUUUAGCAGAGACAGGGGUUUCCCCAUGUUGGUCAGGCUGGUCUCGACCUCCUGACCUCAGGUAAUCUGCCCGCCUCAGCCUCCCAAAGUGCUGGGAUUACAGGCUCGAGGCACCGUGCUCGGCCUUCAAUUCUGUUUUUGUAAGUAUUCAGGUUUUUUUUCUUGUGUCAGAUUUGGUUGUUUGUGUCUUCCUAAAAACAAACAUUUUGUAUAAGGUAUCUAAUUGGCAUACUGCUUUUGAUGGUAUUCCUUUCUAAUUCUUUUAUUUUCCUAUAACAUUGGUGAUAAUGUCUUUUUUAUUCUGAUUUUAUAUGUGUUUUCUCUGUUUUUCAUCUUUGGUCUAGCUACAGAUUUGUUCAUUUUUAAAAUUAUUUCGAGAACCACAUUUGCUUUCCUUAAUUUUCUGUUUCUCUGUUUUUUAAAUUUAUUUUUACUCUAUUUUUUAAAUUAUUUUCUUUGUCCUAAUCAAUUUUUUUUUUUUUUUUUUUGAGACCAAGUCUCACGCUGUCACCCAGGCUGGAGUGCAGUGGCGUGAUCUUGGCUCACUGCGACCGCUGCCUCCUGGGUUCAAGCAAUUCUCCUGCCUCAGCCUACUGAGUAGCUGGGACUACAGGCACAUGCUGCCAUGCCUGACUAAUGUUUUGUAUUUUAGUAGAGACGGGGUUUCGCUGUGUUGCCCAGGCUGGUCUUGAACUCCUGAGCUCAGUCAGUUCACCUGCCUCAGCUUCCCAAAGUGCUAGGAUUACAGGUGUCAGCCACUGUGCCUGGCCCCUAAUCAAUUUUAGUUUGAUCUUUUCCUAAUAUCUCAAAUUGGAAAGUUAGCUUAUUUAUUUGAGAUCUUCAUUUCUAAUGUAGAUGGUCACAGUUUUACUUUUCCCUAUAAGCACUGUUUUUGCUGCAUUCCAUAAAUUUUAUGUUUUGUUACAUUUUCACUCAUCUCAAAGUAUUUUCUAAUCAUUUUUGGGAUUUCAUUUUUAAUCCAUUGGUUGUUUAGGAGUUUGUUGUUUAAUUUACACAUAUUUGUUUGUUUAUUUUGAGACAGAGUACCACUCUGUUGCCCAGGCUGGAGUGCAGUGGUACAAUCAUGGCUCAUUGCAGCCUUGACCUCCUGGGCUCAAGUGAUCCUCCUGCCUCAGCCUCCUGAGUAGCUGGGACUACAGGCAUGUGCCACCACACUUAGAAUUUUUUUUUUUUUUUUUUUUUUGGUUGAGAUGGGGUCUCGCCAUGUUUCCCACACUGAUCUUGAACUCCUGGGCUCCAGGAAUUCUCCUACUUUGGCCUCCCAAAGUGUUGGGAAUAUUGGCAUGAACCACAGCACCUGACUUGCAUAUUUGUGAAUUCCCCAAAUUGCUUUUUUUAAAUUGAUUUCUAAUUUCAUUUCAUUGUUAUGGGGAACAUACUUUGUAUGGUUUCAAUGUUUUAAAAUUAAUUGAGACUUGUUUUAUGACUUAGCAUAUGGUCUGUGUUGAAGAAGGCUCCAUGUACACUUGAGAAUAAUAUGUAUACUGUGGUUGUUGGGUGGAUUUUCUAUGUAUGUUUAGGUGAUAUGGUUUUAUAGUGUUGUUUAAGUCUUCUAUUUUCUUCUUUUUCUGCCCAGUUUUAUUUUUGAAAGCAUACUGAGGUCUCCAACUCAGUGCCUUAGCCUCCUGAGCAGUUGGGACUACAGGCAUACGCCACUACACCCAGCAAUUUUUUUGUAUUUUUCUGUAGAGACAGAAUUUCACCAUGUUGCCUAAGCUGGUCUCAAAUUCCUGGACUCAAGUGAUCUCGAUUCCCGGCCUCUGCCUCCCAAGGUGCUGGGAUUGCAGGCAUGAGCUACUAUGCCUGGCAAAUUUUAUUUUUCCUUUUAUUUUGUCACAUAAUUAAAGCUACUCCAGAAUUCCCUUGAUUUCUGCUUGCCUGGUAUAUCUUUUUUCCAUUUUUUAACUGUCAGCCUUUUUUGUGCCUGUUAAUCUAAAGUAUGUGUUUCGUAGAUAAUAUGUAGCUGGAUCAUAUUUUAAAAAUAUUUAUUCUGCCAAGCUCUGUCUUUUGAUUGGAGUAUUCUUUCAUUUAUGUUUGUAAUUACUGAUGAGGGGGGCACUAAUGUCUGCUGUUUUGCUAUUUGUUUCCCCAUGUCUUAUGUCUUCAUUACUGACUUUUUUAUUAAACAACUAUUUUCUUGGGUACCAUUUUAAGUCCCUCUCCCACUCAUUUUUUAAUGUUUUUUUGUGUUUACUUUUGUUUUUAUUGUUUGCCCUGAUAUUAAAAUUAACAUUUUACCUUGAAAUAGUUGGCUUCAGAUUAAUAUCAACUUAGUUUCAAUAGCAUAGGAAAUUUGCUUCACUAUAUUUCCAUUUUCUCCCCGUCCUUUGUGCUAUUAUUACUAUACCAAUUAGAUCUCUACACAAUAUAGGCAUAUCAACACAUUUUGUAAUUAUUUCCUUAUCCAGUUGUCUUUUAAUAUAGAUCUGUGAAGAAAAGUAUUACACAAAUAGAUCUAUUCUGUUUUUUAUAAUUAUUUAAUUACCUUUGGUGGUGCUGUUUAUUUUUCAUGCAUUUGAGUUACUGUCUAGUAUUCAUUCAUUUCUCUCUGAAUCACUCCCUUUAGUAUUGCUUGUAGGGCAGGUCUGCUAGCAUUGAAUUCUUUUAAUUUUUGUGACUCUUCAAAUGCCAUAAUUUCUCUUUUGUUUGUGAAGGAUAGUUUUGCUAGAUACAGAAUUUGCAGUUGGCAUUCUUUUUACUUUAGCAGUUUGAAAAUAUUUCCCAUUGUUGGCCGGGCACAGUGGCUCACACCUGUAAUCCUAGCACUUUGGGAGGCCGAGGCAGGCGGAUCAUCUGAGGUCAGGAGUUCAAGACCAGCCUGGCCAAUAUGGUGAAACCCUGUUUCUACUAAAAUAUAAAAAUUAGCUGGGCAUGAUGGCAGGUGCCUCUAAUCCCAGCUACUCAGGAGGCUGAGAUGGGAGAAUCGCUUGAACCCGGGAGAUGAUGGCUGUGGUGAGCCGAGAUAGCGCCGCUGCACUCCAGCCUGGGCGGCUGAGUGAGACUCCAUCCCCGAAAAAAAAAAAAGAAAAGAAAAGAAAAAGAAAAAAGAAAAAAAAUUAUUUCCCAUUGUUUUCUGGUCUCUGAUUUAUGAUAAGAAGUCAGCUGAUUAUCUUAUUGAAGAUCAGUUAAAUGUGAUGUUUUUUAUUUUGUUUUUUCUCUUGCUGAUUUCAAAAUUUCUUUCUGACAUCUGGCUUUGAUGAUGUUACUACUAUGUGUAAAUUUGAAUGUCUUUGAGUUUAUUUUUAAGACAGGGUUUGGCUCUGUUGCCCAGGCUGGAGUGCAGUGGCACAAUCGCAGCUCACUGCGUCCUCCACCUCCCAGGCUCAAGCAAUCCUCCCACAUCAGCCUUCCGAGUAGCUGGGACUAUAGGUGUAUGCCACCACGCCCAGCUAAUUUUUGUUCUUUUUUUUUUUGGUAUAGACAGGGUUUUGCCAUGUUGCCCAGGCUGGUCUUGAACUCUUGGGCUCAAGUAAUCUGCUCACCUCAGCCUGCCAGUUUAUCCUUUCUGGCAUUUGUUGGUCUUGCACAUAUUGAUUAAUAUUUUUGAUCAGAUUUGGGAUUUGGGAGCCAUUAUUCAUUCACAUAUUUUUUCUGCCCCUUUUCUCUCCUCUCAUUAUGUUUGUUAUAUUUACUAAGAGUAAUUCUUUUUCAUUAUUUUAUAAUAAGAGAACUUAUGAUAGCAUUGGCUGAAUUUCCUAAGUAAUGUUCUUGUUUUGUUGUUUGCUAAAUAUGCUUGAUUAUAACUUAUAUUUAUUCUUUUACUCAAUAGUUAUUUAGUGUGAUGCUUCAUGUUGAGGAUUUCUGGCUUUCUUUUUCCUCAAAAAAAUCAUGUUUUUAUUUCAUUGUAAUGAGACAAUGUGGGUGCUGUCAUUUCCUACAUGCUUAGUUUUUAAUAACAACCUUAUGUUGCAGGACACAUCCCUCAUUCUUCUUUUUUCCAAAAUUUUAUCUCAUUAUCAUGUAGUUAUUUUAUGUGAACUAUAGAAACAGCUUGUCGAGUGUUCACAAAUAUCACUGGAAUUUAAAUUGGAAUGGCCCUGAAUUUGUAGAUUAAUUUUGGGAGAGCUGUCAUUUUUACAAUCUUCCCAUACAUUAAUGUAAUAUUUUUCUCCUUUUAUUCGGGUCUUCGGUAUCUGCGUAUGUAUAUUCUACUUAUUACUUUUAAUCUCCCCCAUUUUCUGGAAAAAAAAGAUGUCUUUGGAAGUGCAAUUCUGGUGGGAAAAGUGUAGAUGUCAUCUGCAUAGACUAGAGCCAAUCAGUAGGGAAUGUCAUUCAAAAUGUGUUUUGUGUUUGAUCUUACCAUUUCUUUCAAAUGUUCCUAGCAGCCUGCAUUAUUUAUAAUGUUCUGUAUUCCUGGUUUAGGUAAGUCCAGAGGUGAGAGCUGGUAUUAGGAAAAUGACAUAGUAAGGCAUUUGUUUUCAGUAAUGGCAGCAUCCGUUUGACCUCCUUUCCCAUUUGGAAGGGCUUUCUCCAUCCUGAAAGCUCCUGUAGACUUGGUGCUCUUUUUUUUUUUAGGAUUCAUACCAGUUGAAGACUUUCAAAGCCUUCAGUGUAACUGGUUAUGUUCUUACUAGAAAAGUAUUUAGGGCCAGGCGCAGUGGCUCAUGCCUGCAAUCCCAGCACCUUGGGAGGCCGAGGCAAGUGGAUCACUUGAGGUCAGGAGUUCGAGAUCAGCCUGGCUAACAUGGUGAAACACUGUCUCUACGAAAAGUACAAAAAUUAGCCAGUCGGGGUGGUGCGGGCCUGUAGUCCCAGCUACUCAGGAGGCUGAGGCAGGAGAAUCGCUUGAACCUGGGAGGUGGAGGUUGCAGUGAGCCGAGAUUACACCACUGCACUCCAGCCUGGGAGACAGAGAGAGACUCUGUCAAAAAAAAAAAAAAAGAAAGGAAGGAAGGUAGGUAGGUAGGUGGGUAUUUGGGGCCAGCUGGCCUGUAAUCCCAGCACUUGGAGGCUGAGGUGGGUGAAUCACUUGAGGUCAGGAGUUUGAGACCAGCCUGGCCAACAUGGUGAAACCCUGUCACUACUAAAAAUACAAAAAUUAGCUGGGCGUGGUAGUGCCACUUGUAAUCCCAACUACUGGGGAGGCUGGAACCUCGGAGGCGGAGAUUGCAGUGGGCUAAGAUCGUGCCACUCCAGCCUGAGUGAGACUCCAUUUCACAAAAAAAAAAAAAAAAAAAGAAAGGGAAAAAAAGAAAAGAAAAGAAAAAAGUAUUUGGAACCAAAGAAGAUAAGAAUUCUGUUCCAUUUGGUAGUUUAUUUUAAUUCUAAGAGCAACUCUUUGAGAGGAAGCUGGAGGAGAACAUCCAUGAUACGGAGAGGGAUCUGAAUGUAGAUGUUAUGAGAAGCAUCAUAGGAAGUAGAGCUGUUUAUAUUGUAGGAGAACUCCAAAAAGAAGAAUUUGUCUUUGCUUUGUUGUCUUCUGUCUGUUUUCAGAUCUCUUAUUGGGUCAGGGACAGUUGUCUUUUGCUGCUUUUGAAGGCAGUUCUAAUUAAUAGAGAAGCAGUUUUAAGGACUCUCCAAAGAUGAUUCUUGGAAGUGACACCUAGAGGCUUGUAUGAACACUGGGAAUUGAACUUCAGAAUCUCCUUGGGUGGAAUGAGUUGGAUUACAUGCACUCGAAGGUCACUUUUAUUCCUGAGAUUCUGUGAAGGUCUCGAUUGGCAAAUGAGUGUGCUACUUUACAUGUUCCCAUUUAAUCAUCACACCAACCCUCUGAGGCAUGUUAGAGAGGUAGAGUAGGUUUUCUAAGGUAAUGUCUAAUUAAUGGCAGAGCACACUCCCCCACACAUAUAGCUUAAUUCUCCUACAUUUGUAUAGCCCUUCCUUCUUUCCUUCGUUCCUUCGUUCCUUCCUUCCUUCCUUCCUUCCUUCCUUCCUUCCUUCCUUCCUUCCUUCCUUCCUUCCUUCCUUCCUUCCUUCCUUUCUGCAUCUGGCUGUGUUGGCCAGGUUGGUCUUGAACUCCUGGGCUCAAGCAGUCAUUCCACCUAAGCCUCCUAAAGUCCUGGGAUUGUAGGGGUGAGCCACCGAGCCCAACCUUUUUAUUUUUAUUUUUAGUUAAUUGAUUUAGUUUUGUACUUUAUUGUUUCUAGAAGCUUUUUACAAACAUGGUUUUAUUUGACCCUUAUAACAGUUUGGUUAGGAAUAAGAACAGAUUCACCAAUGUGUCUAAUUUAUAGGUGGAAAACAGGCUCAGAAGCUCUUUAGAAUAUCAUGAGAAGAAGGGAUGUGGGGAAUUAUUCAAUACAACUUCUGUAUUUUGCACUUCAAGAAACUGAGUACCAGAGUUAAAAAUCUGGACAUUUGGUGGAUGUUCUUAGAUUUGUGUUAAUGCAAGAGGGUUGGAUUAGAUGAUCUCACAGGGUAUGGGAAUGGAUGGUGUGUUCCCUGUAUCUACUGUGUAGUGUAAAGUUAAUUGAUACUAGCUCAACAUAUUAGAUUAAGUGGCAUUUUAGCAAACAUGAAUGAAAGGCACCAAAGGUUUAAGGGGGAAUUUAAAACAUUAGGUAGCAGCUUGUAGAGGAUAUAUUUAGGGUCAUGAUGUCCUUCUUGUUGGCCUUAAAAACACUUCCUGCGCCAGGUUCAAGGGUCAAUUGGGAACAGGAUCAACAGAGGAUGAGGGUUUUUUUUUGUUUGUUUUUGUAUCAUUUUAAGACAAGGUCUCACUCUGUUGCUCAGGCUGGAGUGCGGUGGUACAAUCCCAGCUCACUGCAGCCUCCGCCUCCCUGAGCUCAGAUGAUCCUUCCACCUCUGCCUCCUGGGUAGCUGGGACUGCAGGCACAUGUCACCAUGCCUGGCUAAUUUUUGUAUUUUUCGUAGAGAUGGGGUUUUGCCAUGUUGUCCAGGCUGGUCUUAAACUCCUGGGCUCAAGUGAUCUGCCCACCUCAGCCACCGAAAGUGCUGGGAUUAUAGGUGUCAACCGCCACACCCAACCAAAUGAGUUAUAAGUUUGUGAUCUGUUUUUAGCCUUUGUCCACAACUGUGGGAGUCACCAUUCACUCUGUGACAUAGGCUCUCAGAAUGAUGGCUCUCUUGACUGUGGCACUGAUCAUAGAUUUAGAAGCUCCAGUAUGGGAGGACCUUAAAAGUCUCCUAUCCCAAAUAGAUUAUUUUAAACUAACCCCAGUUCAAGUCCCUGGAUAACAUACCCAACAAAUGGUCUUUUAACUUCUGAGUAAGUUUACUUGGUAACUGGGGACUCCUCCUUGAGUUAGCUUGUCCCUUCUUUUGAGACCUCUUUACAACAUUGAGCCCCAAAAUGUUUUUCUAUAGCUUCAAUUCAUUCAGCAUAUUUGUAUUGUACCACUACUCAAGAACAUUGCUUUAUUCUCACUCCUGCAUAUUCAGCAUCUCUCCUCUCUGCUGUCAUUUGAGCUGCCAGGCACUGUGCUGGGUAGUGGGGAUAUGGAGAUGAAUUAGACACCAUCCCCGUCCUCAAGGAGUUCUCAGUCUAGUGAGAGAGAUCAACAUCUAUGUACACAUAUAAUUACAACAAUAUGGUAUGCUCUACAAUGGAGGUAUGUAUAAGAUACUCUGGAGUUCAAAGAGAAAUCAUUUUACAGAGUCUGGAGAUGACAGAGCUCAGAGUACCUGGUAUAUGAGUUGAGUCUUUAAAGAAGUAAAGUCACCUUUUGACUAGGUGAAAAACAGGGAAAGGCUUUCCAAGCAAAAGCAUGGACAUUGGAAGUAGUAUGAUGAGUUUGGGGAACUACAAAUAGUUCUCUAAAUUAGGUUGGAAAUGUAGGCCAGGAAUAGAACUUUAUAUGGUAUGCCAUGGGAUUUGGAUUUCAUUAUAAGUGUUUUCAGAAAGGGAUGCUUUUAGAUGAUCACUGGCAGUAGUGUGGGGUGUGUUCAGGAAUGUUUUCAAAUCUGGACAGGGAGAUGAGUUAGAAGGAUACUGUGGUGGCUAAGAUGAGAAAUGAUGUAGGGCUGAAAGGAGUGGGAGUGGCGAAGAGGGGAUAACCUCUUAGGAAGUUAUAAAAAUUUAGUCAUGCAUUGCUUAGCAAUGGGGAUAUGUUCUGAGAAGUGUAUUGUUAGGCGAUUUUGUCAUGUGAACUUCAUAGAGUAUAUUAACACAAACCUCUCUAAAUGGUAUAGCCUAUUACACACCUAGGCUACAAACCUGUACAGCAUAUGACUGUACUGAAUACUGUAGGCAAUUAUAACAGAAUGGUAAGUAUUUGUGUACCUAAACAUAUAUAAACAUAGAAAAGCUACAGUAAAAAUAUGAUAUGAUUUUGUGGUGGGACAACUGUGGGACAACUGUCAUAUAUGAGGUUCAUCAUUGUCCUAAACAUUGUUAGGCAGCACAUGACUGUAUAGACAUAAUAGAACUUAUAGGAAAAGUUAUAGAAAAACUUAUAGAAAAAGACCUUGAUGAAAAAUACUGUCAUAUUCUUUGGAUGAAUGUUGCAAUUAACUCCUUUUAGAUCAUAACUUGACUGUACAGAUUGUGCAAGAUUGUUUUCUGGGAACAGCUGUAUAUGAAAUGUUGAUUCUCAGGGAGACACCUAGACACCUGAAUUGCAGCAGACAUUUUAUGGUGUUGCUAAGUUGCUGGUCCUUCUCAUCAGUAGCAGGCCUACUCUCACUGUCACAUAUCUCCCACGGUUUUUUUUUUUUUUUUUUUUUUUUUUUUUGUAAUUAACCAAAAGUGAAGGCUUUUAUAUCAAAGACUCAAUUGAGGAAGCAGUGGCCUUAGUCAUUAUUGGCAUAAUUGCUUUAGUUUGCUUAUGGAUCUUAAAACGUUUAUGACUAUAUCUGCAAGUAAAAAAAAAAUUCAAUAAUUAAAAACCUAAACAUAUCGAGUGUUUAUUUUCUCUUUUUGCAAAGGUAUAUUCUAAACUCAAUGUUCUUCGGGAAAUUUUCCAAUUAAGGCUCUGAGUAUUGAUAUUUGGGAUUUAGAGAAUGGCUUUCUAUGACCAGAAUGGUUAGUGAUGAGAUUUUAUGUAAGUAGGACUGGGUUUUUCAGGGGGCCUUGUGUAACUUGCCAUCAAGAGUUGGGAAAGGAGGCCCUGAGCAGUGCAGCAGAGCUAUGUAAAGUGAGAGUUUGGGUCUUGGGACCAGGUAGCCUGGGCUCAAAUCUGCUCUCACACUUAGCAAUGUGGUCUUGAGCAUGAUUCUUCACUUCCCCAGGACUCUGUUUUCUCUUAUGUAAAAUAGGAAUAAUAUUUAUUUUCAAUGAUGGGGGUAAAAAGUACUUAAAGGGACUAAUUAUGUAAAUUGCUUAGAACAGGCCUGGAAUAUACAGCUAAAUGCUGUGUCAACUGUUGUUGCUGAUAAUGGUGUUGACUAUGACAAGUAUUAAAAGAAGAGAUUUGACUAGAGGUACUUAUAUUUUGAAUGAUCAGUGACGAUGUUAGGGUUGAGAAAGAAAAACAGUAACUGACUUGAAGGUUUUCAAUGGUAUGUAAGUGUGAGGUCAUUUCACCUUUUAUUUCUCUGCCAGGUAGAGUGGGAAACCAAAUUAAUCACUCCAUGAUCUAGUGACUAAUCUAUUGCCUUUGCUUUUAGUUCCAAAUAGAAAGCUGUUGAAAAGUUGUUGUAUUACACCUGCAUAAAGGUUAUCCUGAAAACAGAAAAAUGCAUUAGACUUUGUCAAAACUGGAUUUGAAACCUAAUUCAACUGCUUGCUGGCUGUGUGACUUAAACUUGUUGAACUUCAGUUUCUUCCUCUAAUAUAACUAUUAAUUUUCAGAGUUUCCAUGAAGAUAUUUGUAAAGUGUUUGUCAUAGGCACUCUAUACAUUAAUUACAGCUAUUAUUGUUAGAUCUUGGGACACCCAGCACGUGACAAAAACAACAGCAGACCCUGGUGCCUGGGAGGACUUCAUGGAUCCAGCAGCAACCUGGAGUGGUGCUCCUCUGAAGAAAUCCUACUCGGAUGGAUAUAAUACAACCUGCUAAGUGUCCUAGCACUUAGCAGGUUGUAUUAUCAUUGUCCGUGUCUAUGGCUCUCGUCUACCAGACUUUAAAUUCCUUAAGGGCAAGGACAGUGCCUUACUCAUCUUUGUAUUCACAGUGCCUAAUCCGGUGCACAUUGUAGGCCUCAUUAAAUGUUUGUUGAAUGAAAAAAUGAAUCAUCAACAGACAUUAAUUGGGCGCCUGCUCUGUGAUCUCCAUGGGCUCAGCUUGUCCCCGCCAGUUGCCAACAACGUCCAAGCUCUCUUCAGAAUGCUUACUCCUGAAGCUUAUUCCUGUCUUCUAAUUCUUUUGUUGAGGACUUUUCUGUGUAGUGCAAUGAUAGCAAAUACACUUCAUCUCAAGUACCAUCUCCAAUUGAUUGAUAAUGCCUGCCCUGAUUAUGUUUUAUAACAAGAUUCUGAAACCAGGUCUUAUCUCAGUGUGAAAGACAUUUAUAACUAUUUAGUGAUGUCUGCUGAGGGUCGGAGAAGGGGGAGUAGCAGCACAAGUGCCUCAUAUGUCAUAUUUGCUACUCUGUUUUCUAUGAAAUACUUCAUUUCUAUGCCUGCAUUUUGGUCUUAGCUACUUGCUGAUGUUGCAUGGCUGUUGCUGCUACUGUAAUUGCUGCUAAUUGCUCCCUGGGUUGGACCAGAGUGCUCAUUGUCUGAACAGAAACCUCAUCCUCACAGUCUGAGGUUUGCUCCUGUGGCUGAUAUUUAAAGUUUUCCCCUUUCAACUUUACUCCAGCUAUCCCCUUACCUGCACUGACAGGUAAUCCUCCACCGUCCUGUUCACCUCUCACCAGGUUCAUAUUUUCUUUAUCUUAUUUAUUGUACUUAAUCAUUAUUUUGUGAGAAGCUUUUCUGAUUGUAGAUGUGACAACCAGAAUACAAGUUAAAACCACUUAUCCAGCGCCUUACAGUGAAUCAUUUAACAUGAGAAAAAAAUUGAGUGUGUUUGCAGACCAUGGGGCAGAAGGAAUUGAGAAGGGAGUCAUUGUAGAUGUGAGAAAGAGAGAGAUGAUAAUAGAUGGAAGAUGAUCUUGAAAGAUGAUGCAGGUGAAGCUGGAAGGGUGAAAUUUAUGGCUCUAGAACACAUGCAGGUGGAGGGUUAGCCUUAGGUAAGUGGAACUACCUCUUUGCUGGAGCACAGAGAUAGGGAUAGGAGUAAGGAAGAGGACUUGGCAAGGGUGGUGAAGAUUUGUAAUUGUAGAGGUGGAUGAUGGGGAGGAAGCUGACCAGGAACAGGAAUAUGAAGACAAAAGCUGCUGGAACAGAAAUACUAGAGGGCUAAAUAUGAACCAGAGUCCCUAAGGAAUAUUCAGGCCAAAACGCUGGAGUGAGACCAUUAACAGGAGAGCUUAUGGUAUAUCAAAGUAAGAAAUGAGUUUGAAACUGGGUUAGAAGCUCAGGAAAAUAUGAAGUGGUUUUGGGGCAUUGUCACUAGCAGUAUUUGGUUGCCUUGAUUGAUUGAGGGGUGGACAGCUAGCAAGAGACGAGUUACACAGAAAUGGAUUUAAGAAUCCAAACUAAGGCCGGGCGCGGUGGCCCACACCUGUAAUCACAGCACUUUGGAAGGCCAAGGUGGGCAGGUCACCUGAGGUCAGGAGUUCGAGACCAGCCUGACCAACAUGGUGAAACCCUGUCUCUACUAAAAAUGCAAAAAUUAGCCAGGUGUGGUGGCACAUGCCUGUAAUCCCAGCUACUCAGGAGGCUGAGGCAGGAGAAUCACUUGAACCCAGGAGGCGGAGGUUGCAGUGAGCCGAGAUCCCACCCACUGUACUCCAGCCUGGGUAACAGAGUGAGACUUCAUUUAAAAAAAAAAAUCCAACCUGGACAUGGAAGGAAGUAAGGUCAGGAGUGGCCUCAGUCUGGGCCAAAAAGAGGCUUUAAUGUGAACAAGGUGAGUGCUGAGUAAUUGGAAAACUGGAGUGAUAGGACCUGUAAUCAGAGUAGACUUUGGAGUGUUAGAUUUCAAAACUGGAGUGGUUAAGAUACCUGUGAAGCUAGGAUGUCAGAUGAUCAUUUACAUGACUAUUAUAGUAACCCAGGAUUAUAGUAGAAGCUAGGCUUAGAAUGAACACUGGGCCAGGUACAAAAGGCUUCAGUGACUGUGAGGAAUGACUUGGAGGUUGGCACAUGUUAACUGCAAAUACUAGAGAAGAAAGGCUGUAGUGGGAUAGUAGAUGAGCCUUAGAAGAGUGGGGGGAUCCAGGUGAUUCCUUCUUUUAUUGAGUAUUUGCUCUAUGCCUGACACCUUGCUAUAUGCCAUCUGUUCCCUCUUUUGGGUCUGUCACACUUCAGGAGUGGGAGAAUGCGCAAGAAUUCCUGGUGAGAACAGCUAGGGGAGCUGUUGGCCUUUAGCACUGCUGGAAUCCUGUGGCCGUCUCCUAACUCUUUCAAAGAGCUGCAGGCUGGUCAGCUUGAAGUGGCAUAAAAAGAUUUAUUUAGGAUCUAAAUUUUUCCUUGAUCUUGACCUAAGUUAGUUACAUGUUACAAGCAUUUGUUGGCCAUGUUCCAUAAUGUACUUUGGCUUCUGAGCCUCUGAGUUGAAGAGUGAGCUAGUGCUGCUCUUAAAAAACAACAACAAAAACAAAAAACCAGUCAUAGUACACACAUGUUGAUUAACCGGAGCAAGACACAAUCCUAUUAAUUCAGCUUUUUAGGAUAAAGGGUAGACAAAAGAAAGCUCACAUCAAUAGGUGAGUAACAACUACUUUGUAAAAGCCACUCUAGGGUCAGAAUACAUCCAGUUUAGUGGUCCAUAUUGUAGAAUUUCCCUGUGCUGUUAGGGAAGAGGGCUGGCAAUUGAGGCACAGAGAUGGCCUUAAGGACAAGGAAGGUAAAGCUUAGGAGAAGAGAGUCUAUAAAACCUCUGACAUGGCAUGCAGACAUUUUUCUUUUGAGUACAUUUUACUGGGGAGAGGAUCCAUGUCUUUUAUAUUCUCCAAAUGACUCAAUAUUCCAAAAGAAGUUUAAGAACUACUGUGUUAAAGUGAUCAGGCCCUCAGACAACCCAUCCCCUCUUGUAG
rnacentral:lncRNA from 1 species